GGAGGUCAUCUCCUCUAGCCAUAUGUAUGUGGAGGAUAUAAUCCUCGAUCCAUACUCCAGGGUCGGUUGUUCCAUCAUAUGCCUCUAUGUUUACGGGUUUGAAUCCCGCUGGAAAUUCAUAAUCCAGGACCUCAUCGGUGAAACAUAGGGGGUGUGCGGCACCCCUGUAUUUGGGUGUGCCGGAUUCUGAUAAUCGCUUUAUUGCAUUGCUUACAAGAGCUUGCUUUCCUAGCCCGUAAAUGGACCUGGCUAGGCCAUGAUGCGAAUCCUUAAGUGGGUCGCAUGCCGGCUUAAGUGCGGCGGUGCUUGCCGCUUUAUGCUGGCCAUGGGGUCGUCUAUCCGACCGUGUGGCUUUCUCACUUUUGGAAUGCGAGGUCUCUAAGGCCUCCUCAUCAAAUUCAGGCAGUAGCUUUCUCUUCGGAUAGCUUUUAGUGCGGCGACUAUCGCUGUAUUUGUCUGCGGUAUUGAUUACUUUACUCCAUCUGAUCCUGAGUGCAUCUUCCGUAGUUUUUAGCUUCCGCUUCUGCUUUUUCAGGCUGCGUGCGGUUGCAAUGAGCCGUUUGUGGAGGUUCUUCUGCUUCAUGGGCUUGUCCGGCAUAGGGUUGUCCGGAAUGCCAUUCUCGCCGGGGGAGGGAUGUUCGGUUUCUCUAUCCGGGUUGUCCUGUUGGGACGGUUCCUCUAAGGCAUGCUCGUCGUCUACCGGCUCAUCCUGCUCUAUGGCUAGGUCUUUAUCUAGGCGGGGCUUGGGUCGGCGUUUACGCCAACACUUUGAUUGUUUUUCGAGAGAUCGAUCCCUCUUUCCGUCCCUGUUUUCCUCGUUGUUGCUUCCUUUAGGGGUAUCCACCAUGUACACAUCGUGAGAUGAGGUGGCUAUCCGAUGCCCUAUAGGCGUUGGUUCUUGGUUGUCUCCUGCAUCGUUGUCCAUACCGUCCAUGUCUUCGGAGUCGAAGUCGAGUAUGCCGGUUAAGUCGUCGACAGUGGCUACGAAGUGGGUGGUGGGUGGGUUUUGAAUUUCUUCAUCAUCCGAAUCCCAUCCUUGCUGACCGUAGUCCGACCAGGGCUCUCCUGAUAAAGAGAGAGACUUUAGCGAAUUCAGGAUGUCGCCGAAGGGUGAGUGCUGAAAGAUGUCUGCGGCGGUGAACUCCAUUAUCGGCGCCCAAUCGGAUUCGAUCGGCAGGGGCGCGGGGGGCUCGAAGUUCGGAAAGGAAUCGGGCUCCUCAGAGUCACGGGCAAUGCGGAGUGCAGGGCUGGAGUUCGGCUCGAUCGCCUCUGAGAUCGCAGCGCCUGAGGCAGCGUCCAAUCGCUGAUCCUCGAUCAGCGCAGUAGGCUCUGAAUCAGUGGUCGGAACCGAUGCGUGUGCGGCCUCCAAGGCACUGUUCAGCGGCAGAGCUAUAUCAUGCCCAUCGAGACAGUGCGGCGCGCUUGGCUGUGGCUCGAAUCCGUCAAAGAUCAAGUCCCCACGAAUGUCAGCCGUGUAGUUUAGGCUUCCAAACCUGACCUGAUGGCCAGGGUUGUAGCUUUCGAUCUGCUCAAGGUGGCCAAGAGAAUUGGCCCGCAGUGCGAAGCCGCCGAAGACGAAGAUCUAUCCGGGGAGAACAGUCUCACCCUGGACUACAUCGUUGUUGAUGAUCGAAGGAGCCAUCGGGCCUAAAAGCGACGACACGGAGGAACUCUCAAUGAAAGCACCAAUGUCGGUGUCAAAACCGGAGGAUCUCGGGUAGGGGGUCCCGAAGUGUGCGUCUAGGCCGGAUGGUAACCGGAGGCAAGGAACAUGAUGUUUUGCCCAGGUUCGGGCCCUCUUGAUGGAGGUAAAACCCUACGUCCUGCUUGAUUAAUAUUGAUGAUAUGGGUAUUACAAGAGUAGAUCUACCACGAGAUCAAGGAGGCUAAACCCUAGAAGCUAGCCUAUGGUAUGAUUGUUGUAUGAUGAAGUUGUCCUACGGAAUAAAACCCUCCGGUUUAUAUAGACACCGGAGAGGGUUAGGGUUACACAAAGUCGGUUACAAUGGUAGGAGAUCUUGAAUAUCCGCAUCGCCAAGCUUGCCUUCCACGCCAAGGAAAGUCCCAUCCGGACACGGGACGAAGUCUUCAAUCUUGUAUCUUCAUAGUCCUGGAGUCCGGCUGAAGGUAUAGUCCGGCUACCCGAACACCCCCUAAUCCAGGACUCCCUCAGUCACCUAGAUACUCCAAUGUUACCACAAGUAUCCAUGAGUUAAUUAUAUGAUACACAUCAAACAAUUUCAGAUUCAUAAUACUCGAUCCAACACAAAGAACCUCAAAGAGUGCCCCAAGAUUUCUGCCGGAGAAACAAGGACGAAAACGUGCAUCAACACCUAUGCAUAGUUUACCCCAAUGUCACCUUGGGAAUCCGUGAGUUGAGUGCCAAAACAUAUAUCAAGUGAAUCAAAAUAAUAACCCAUUGUCACCACGAGUAUUCAUAUGCAAGACAUAUAUCAAGUGAUCCCAAAUCGAUAAAAGUAUUCAAUCCGAUAAAACAAAAUCUGAAAGGGAAAAGUUAAUUCAUCACAACAAGAUAGAGAGGGGAAAACAUGAUAUGAUCCAACUAUAUUAACAAAGCCCCCGAUACAUCAAGAUCGUGCCAUCAAGAACACGAGAGAGAGAGAGAGAGAGAGAUUAACACAUAGCUACUGGUACAAACCCUCGGCCCCGAGGGUGGACUACUCCCUCCUCAUCAUGGUGGCCGCCGGGAUGAUGAAGAUGGCCACCGGUGAUGAUUUCCCCCUCCGACAGGGUGCCGGAACGGGGUCUUGAUUGGUUUCCGUGGCUACAGAUGCUUGCAGCAGCGGAACUUCUGAUCUAGGGUUACCUUUAGGGUUUUUGGAAUAUUUGGCAAUUUAUAGGGCGGAGAGGCGGUGUGGGAGGCCACUGAGGUGGGCACAACCCACCUGGGCACGCCUGGGCCCCCAGGCAUGACUUGGUGCGUUGUGCUCCCCUUGGAGCUUCCCUCAGGUACUUCUUUGGCCCACUAGGUGUCUUCUGGUCCAGAAAAAAUCUCCAAAAAGUUUCGCUGCAUCUGGACUCCAUUUGGUAUUUAUUUUCUGUGAUGUAAAAACAAGCAAAAAAACAUCAACUGGCAUUGGGCACUAUGUCAAUAGGUUAGUCCCAAAAAAUGAUAUAAAGUUGCAUAAAAUGAUUGUAAAACAUCCAUGCCGGGGUACUGAUCCACGGGCACCUAUGGGACCGGCGGACCGGGUCCCUUUCGGUUCGGCGGGGGCGGAGGUCGUGCAAAGAGCAAAUCGAGGCGAUACACGUGAGCGGUUUACCCAGGUUCGGGCCACACGGAUGCGUAAAACCCUACUCCUGCUUUGUGGUUUGUAUUGGUUUCUUGCUCGGGAGCGUGGAGUGCUACAGUACACACCAGCAGCUAGCGAGACCGAGCGUGAGUGUUCGAACCCCCCUCUAUGUUGCACACGGGCCUCCUUUUAUAUGCGCAAGGGGUCACCGACAGGUGGCAACGAAGGUAAAGGGCAAAAAUGGAAAGGUGUUGUGGUAGGCACAGCUACCUGCUAUAGUGUAUCAUACCUAACCCUGACGGCAGGGGACAAGGGCCUUAAAUGCCCGUCUGUGUCGCUUAAACAGUGCGAAAAGGGACCGCCAGGGACGCCACUGUUCGCCACGAUGGCGAUCUUGUCAGCGCCGCUUGCCACCGCACGCCGCUGGCUGCACAGCCUCCCGCCAUGUACGCCUGGAAGGGCCCCGGAGCGACACGUUGGUGGAUGUGUUGGAGCGCGGGCCCAGGGAGGUGGCUUGACGCGGCAAGCGCCUUGCCGCUGUCGUUGUCUUGUCGCGUCCGGGAGCUUGUCGCUCAGCGGGCCUUGCCGAGGCGCGUGGUGCGCCGCGGCAAGUUCCUUGAACUGCCUUGGGUGGCCUUCCCGGCAAGCUCCUCUUGCCGGGGUCUUGGGAUGCUUUUGUUAGCCUUCCCGGCAAGCUCCUCUUGCCGGGGUCUUGUCUUCUUAGCUUGUACACUUUGCUCUUGAAUGGCUCCAAAGGAACCACGGAGGACCUUGGCGGCCACCCGGCAAGUCUUGCCGCGGGAUGCUGCGACUGCCCGUGCACAAGUUCGGGAUACUAUGGUACCCCUACUCUAGUACACCGACAGGAGCCCCCGGGCCUGGGCCAUACACGGUGCCGAGCGCUGUUGGGCCAGGCCCAAAACAGGGCACGGGCACGCGCGGCCUAGGUUACGCCGUAUCUCACUCCGUAUCCACCGCGCCCUCCCCGAACGGCACGCGUCGAAUGCGGCGUCGUGGGAGAGAUCGUGGGGGUUUCUUUAUUCGGAAAUGCGGUACGUCCGCCCCCUCCCUCUUUAUAAGCAGGGGAAACAGGGGCAGUUGGCACACUCGCCCGUUUCCGUUUCCAAUCUCAGAAAUUUCCGCCGCUCCCUCGCCUUCCCAAGGCUAAGAGAUGGAGAGAGAGCAGUGCUCCGCCCCGCAUCGCCACCAGCACCACCAGCGCCGUCAAUCUCCUCCACUGCUUCCGCCAUGGCUCCGAAAGCCGACAAGGGGAAGGCCGUGAAGUCGACCGAGGUGCAGCGGCUCACGGCGCUGCGGAAGGAGCGAUCCGUCUCCCCCCCCCCAAGCUUGGCGCGAAGGAGCUGAGGGAGAACUACUACCUGUUCUGGUCGGCGGAGACACGCGCGCAUCCGCGCACAAAGGUACUCCCCGCCGCCGCUUGGAAGAAGGCUCCGAAUGGAUACCCCUUUUUUGCUUUGUUCUUCUACUGCGGGCUCUGCCUGCCUUUCUCUGAUUUCUUCUGCGACAUCAUGAACACCUAUGGAUUCCACCUCCUUGACUUCACCCCCAAUGUCGUCCUGACAAUGGCAGUUUUCGCACACCUCUGCGAAAACUUUGUCGGAGUCCUUCCCAACGUAGCCCUCUUCCGCCACUUCUUCAUACCCCGAGUGGAGAGAGGAGAGCCUCUAUCUGGCGGAAUCGCCUGGGUCUCAAGGUCCGGCAAGAAGGAAACGUAUCUGGAGGGAGAAUUCUGCACACCUCUGCCGUCCUGACAAUGGCAGUUUUCGUACACCUCUGCGAAAACUUUGUCUGAGUCCUUCCCAACGUAGCCCUCUUCCGCCACUACUUCAUACCCCGAGUGGUGAGAGGAGAGCCUCUAUCUGGCGGAAUUGCCUGGGUCUCAAGGUCCGGCAAGAAGGAAACGUAUCUGGAGGGAGAAUUCCGCGGCAAGUGGGAGGAGUGGAGAGCUGAUUGGUGCUGGAUUGACGAGGAGAGCCCGCAGCCAUUCACCAUCCGGCGCCGAACCCCAGUAGCCCGCGGCAGUGAUUGGAGUGACGUGGCCCCGGAGGACGACAAGCUGAAGAUUGCUGUCACCAGGAUCCUGCGCCUGAGGCUUGCCGGGCUUACUGUUGGCGCUGUUGGCGCAGACUUCCUUCGCCGCCGCAUCGCCCCCCUGCAGGAACGGGGGAGGCCCAUUUGGGAGUUCAAGAACGCGGCAGAUAUCAUGAGGCUGCGGCCGAGCCUUAACUACAACUUCACAGUCCUGGAGCUCAACGCGAUGCUGCAGGAACUGUUCAAGUACGACCCGCAACAUCCCGAGGUGUUUAGGUUGCCGGGGGGCGUCGUGCCGUUGUGAAACAAUUCCGCGCUCGACCGCAUCCGUGCAAUGAUGCCGGAGUGCGACUCGCAUGGGAUUGUGCCAACUUGGCAGGAGCCUGCAGACGAGGUCGUGCAGCAGUUCUUCGACGACUUGGUGGAAGUGGCAAUCCGCCCCGACGAGAAGGACGGCCUCACCCGCGACACCACGGAUGCGGAGAUGGCACUUAUCGCCACUAGGCUGGAGGAGGCAGCGGCAGCCGCAGCCGUGGGCGAGUUUGGGUUCACUAUGGAGGAAGCAGAUGCAGCGGAGGUGGCAAGCCAUGCCGAGCGAGGGGAGCCUGCCGGCAAGAAGGAGCUUGCCGGGCGUGACGCCGAGCCGAGCGAGCCCGCCAAGGGCACAAGCGGCUCGUUGGAAAUCAACUGCUCUUCCACCUCGUCUUCAGACAGCCCACCGCGAGCAGAGCCUCCAUCCCCACCAAGAAGGCGUCUCCGCAAGGUCGGUGACGUGGCAGAGCGGCAAGCGGGUCAACAGUCACCGCGCCGCAUGACACGCUCCACCGCGGCAUACACCGUUGCCGCGGGAGCGCCUCAUACUACGACGGCAACUGGAGCGGAGUCUAGCCGGACCACCGCUUCAGUUCCUGCCGCUGCUCACGCCGCACCGACAGCCGGAGCGGGGUCGUCUCACACCGCCGCCACUGCUCCCGCCAAGCGGCCAAGGGAAGCUUCUCCUCCGCCUCCUCCCGCCGGGCGCGCGCCGGGCUUCGACUUCUCCGCGUUAAGCUCCGACGAGGAAGAAGAAGAAGAGUAAGCUUCUCUUGCUGUACUUGUAGUUCUUCAAUUCUUGCUGUUGAUGUUGUUUCUCACUUGCUUUUCUUCUGAACUUGUUCCUCUUUAGGACUCUGGCCCAGAGAGCAGCAAAGAGAGCCAAAGGUCCCGGUGAUCGUCAUCGAGGACGAGCCUACUGCGACAGUAGGUGGCGCGCCCGAGACAAUCUUGCCGGACCCGGCGACUUUCCUCCAGGGCAGCCCCCAGCGUAAGUGUGAUUUACUUUCUGCUGCGAGGCGCUUGGGUACUUGUCUUUGCUGAUAUCUGCUUGUUGACUUGUGUAGGAGCCGAGAAGCCCCACCAGGAGCCAAGGGAGAAUUCCCCGACAAGGGAGAACUCUCCGGCAAGGGAGGGCUUCCCGGUAAGGGAGAAGUCUCCGGCAAGGGAGGGUUCUUCGGCAAGGGACAGCACCAGCGGCCCCCCGACGGCGGAGACCACUACUGCAGAGCCCGGUGCAGGUACUCUUCUUGCUUCAAAACUUCCCUUGGGUUCUUCUUCUUUUGAUCUUGUUGAGUUUUUGCUGGAUUUUGCUUGACUCUUCUCCCCUUGCCGGCUGUCAGACCCAUCUGCUGCGGAGCGGAUGGAGACCGAGGUCGCCGCCGAGGACGUAGCCGGCACGGGUGAUCCUGCCGGCGCCGAGGCCGCCAAGGCUGGCGCCGCGGCGACAGGCGAGGGAUCUGGCGAUCGUACUGAUGGCCCAGAGGCCGCAGGAGCACCAGGUGCUACACCGACCGCCGACCCGUCCGCCGAAGCCGCAGCGCCAAGCACCGAGGAGCCCCAGCCGAGCGUUUACUUGAAGGCCGGCGAAGGCGUCUUCAUCAACCUCCCCUGGGCGUCAAGCUCCAGGGCGCCGGUCGAGGGGGAGAUCUUCGACGGAAAAGUGCUUGCCUCCGCGGGGUUGAAGCUGGUCGACGCGCCAAGCAGCAGCAGCAACGAGCCCGAAGAAGAGCGGCUGCUGCGGAAGUUGAUGUCGCUCUACCGCGCGCGGCAAGCCAAGCUGGAGUCCUGUGAGGCGCUUGUCGCGGAGGCGGGAGCUGACAUCGAAAAGCGCGCAGAAGAGCUCGGGGGUUUCCACCGGGAAGCCCUCCGGUCCUUGGCGGAGGAGCGGGGGCAGCUUGGUGAAGCGCAGAAGGCCUUCCUCCUUGAGAAGGCCGAAGUCGAAGAGCGGCAGCAACUUGCCGCUGUGAAGCUAGCCGUGGAGGAGGGCGAGCUGGCGCAGCGGAAGGUCAAUCUCGACUCCCACGAGGAGGAGCUUGCCGCGCGCGAGGGAAAACUCGGCGAAGCCCUCAAACGAGCAGAGGACGCCGCCGCCGCCGCCGAAGCCGCCAAGGAGGAGUUGAAGACGAAGGUGGCGCAGCUAGAAGCCGAUCUAGCCGAGAAGGGCAGAGAGCUCAGCGCCGCCAAGGUCUCCAACGUGGAUCUUGAGUUGAAGCUAACCACUUUGACCAAGACUCUGGACAGCGCCAAGAAGCGGGAGGCGGCCUUGAAGGAGGAGAUCAAGGCCGACAAGGCGCUGUUGGAGAGCGCUGCUGGUGCCCAGAACGCCUUCAGGGAGACUGUGACGCAGUGGACGGAGAGUCUGGUGAACGCCGCCACAGAUAUCGACAAGGAGCUGGCGCAGCUGGGAAUGGAGGAUCUUGGGUAUCCCUCCGACGACAACCUCCAGCCCAGCGCCAAGCUCGUCCUGUUCUUCAAGGGCGUGGCGACAGCCCUCCAGCGACUCCGGGAGAGGAUCCCCAAGCAGCUGGCCGACGAAUCGCACAAGAUCUGCGCAGGAGCCCUCAAGAAAGUGUUGAUGAAGGUGGCCUUCCGCAAUCCGGGCCUCCGCCUCACCAACAUCCUCAGGACCUUGCCGCCGGAGGCUGAUCUGGAGGAGCUCAAGGCCCUUGUCGCACCCAUUGUGGACAAGGUGAGCGGGAUCACGAGGGUUGAAGGCGAUCGCGUAGAUUAGGCCGCCCAUUUCUUCUUUCCUUGUCGCUGUUUGGCAUGUUAUGAAAACAAACUAUUAGAGCCGCGACAAGCUAUCCUUGUAAUAUAACUUUUAUUCUGGGCAAUGAUUGCAACGUUAUUUCCUUUACUUGACUCCCCCCUUUGUAUGUCUUUUUACCCUACACUUUUAGGGAACUUGCUGGUGCAGGCACCUGGGCCGCGAGCGCUGAGUGCGGGACGUCAGCAGCCUGCUGGCGGUGCCGCUACCGGCAAGAAACCUUGUCGCAACUAGUUGCAGCUCACUUAAGUUGCCGAGCGAACUCGAAACAAAGUAAGGGCGCUGGCGGCUCACUUAAGUUGCUGAGCGGACUCGAAGCAAAGUAAGGGCGCUAGCAGCUCGCUUAAGUUGUUGAGCGGACUUGAAACAAAGUAAAGGCGCAACUAGCUACGAGUUGGUUCCUCCGCGCACAGGUUUUCCAUACAAAGUGUGGUCGUUCAAGGGAGAUAACUUAAAAUUUUAAAAAUUUGAUUGCUCAAACUUUGGCAACUUAGCUUUUCUGUUGUUUGCUUCCCGGCAAGGCAAAACUUCCUUGAGCGACGCCUGUUCCAUACCACUAUCUUCUCUUCCCCCCGGCAAACUUGUGGGCGAGGGGAACCUUCCUUUCAAAAGAAAGAAGAGAAAAAUGCAGAUAUGGAGCUUUACGGCUCGUUAUUGCUUACCGUGGAGUAGGUGCUGCACAAAGUGUCAGAUCAUAUAUGCCAAAAAAUAGAAAGCAUAAAAUCAACAAAAUGUGCGGAGCACAUGAGCUUUAUUUACGCACGGGAUCUGCGCUCGGCUUUGUACGAAGGAUUACAUGCAACAGCGGCAAGACUUGUACAAAAGGUGGUUGCUGGAACAGGUUCCGACAACCGCGCCUUACGGGUAAAACUUACGAAGAUGUUCAAUGUUCAAGGAGUUGCUCACCGGAAUGCCAUCUUCGGUCUCAAGGCGGACAACGCGAGGCCUAGUGACUCGUUUCACCCGGUAAGGGCCUUCCCACUUCGGCGUCAACUUGUUGGAAUUCUUGGCGGACUGAACACGCCAAAGAACAAGGUCGCCUUCCUCGAGACUUCUAGCAUUAACUUUGCGGCUAUGGUAGCGGCGCAAAGCUUGCUGGUAGCGAGCAGCUCGCACAGCAGCCUGAAGACGAUCUUCCUCAAGGAGCAGCGCGUCAUCUUGUCGCAGCUGCUCUUGCUCAAGCUCAUCAUAAGCGAGCACUCGAGGUGACCCGUAUACGAGUUCCGUGGGGAUAACUGCCUCUGCUCCAUAGACUAGAACAAAAGGUGUCUGGCCAGUGGCUCGAUUUGGCGUCGUCCUGAUCGACCAAAGAACUACCGGCAGCUCCUCGAUCCAGUUUCUUCCGCACUUGUGCAGCCUAUCGAAAGUUCUGGUCUUGAGCCCGCGCAGCACUUCAGCAUUUGCCCUCUCCGCUUGACCGUUGCUUCUUGGGUGAGCAACGGAAGCGAAGCAGACCUUGGCGCCAAGAUCAUGGACGUACUGCAUGAAGGUGCGGCUCGUAAAUUGUGUACCGUUGUCGGUGAUUAUCCUGUUAGGGAUCCCGAAGCGGCAAACAAUCGACCUGAAGAACUUGACUGCUGACUGUGCGGUCACCUUCCUCACUGGUUCCACUUCCGGCCACUUUGUGAACUUGUUGAUUGCAACGUACAAGUACUCAAAGCCCCCGACAGCUCGGGGAAAGGGGCCGAGGAUGUCGAGCCCCCAGACCGAAAAUGGCCAGGAUAAAGGGAUCGUCUGGAGAGCUUGAGCUGGUUGGUGUAUCUGCUUGGAAUGAAACUGGCACGCUUCACACUUGGUUACUUGUGCAGUUGCAUCCUGGAGGGCUAUUGGCCAGAAGAAACCUUGCCGGAAUGCUUUGCCGACAAGUGCUCUUGCGCCAAUGUGGUGACCACAUAUGCCUCCAUGUAUCUCUGCCAACAGCUUCUGUCCAUCUUCCUGGUGAAUACACUUCAAUUUCAUGCCGUUGAGUCUUCUUCUGUACAGUGUCUUGUCGACAAACUGGUACAUACUUGACUGCCGGGCUACUCUUUCCGCUUCUUCUUGCUCUUCGGGAAGUUCUCCUGUCUGAAGAAAACGGACGAUCUGCUGCGCCCAUGCUGGAGCUUGUGGCUCGACAACAAGGACUAAAGGCAAAUCUGCCGCUGCGGGAACAUCCGCUUCUACGGCGAGAACCUGCGGAUCUGCCGGAGCUUGACGUUCCCCGGCAAGCUCGCCGGAGCAAAACUUGCCAGGAGCUCCUGCUUCAACGGAACAAACCCUGAGGUUUGCCGGAGCAGACUGCUCCUCAGCGCUCUUGGUGUUGAUCUUGGGGACUGCUGCGGGAACAUCCGCUUCUACGGCAAGAACCUGCGGCUCUGCCGGAGCGUGACGUUCCCCGGCAGGCUUGCCGGAGCAAAACUUGUCGGGAGCUCCUGCUUCAACGGAACAAACCCUAGGGCUUGCCGGAGCAGACUGCUCCUCAGCGCUCUUGGCAUUGAUCUUAGGGACUUUCUUGGUGGCUGCUUCGGGAAGCUCUGCCGGCAAAUCGUCACCAGAAAUCAACUUCCUCUUUUGCCCUGUCUAGUUGAUGGCAUUACGGAUGGCUGAGUCAGCUUGAGCACAAAGAUCCCUAGUUCCACAGGUAACUUAAGUGCAGCGCACUUCGACAGGCCAUCUGCAAUGGCGUUCUGAGCUCUUGGAACGUGUUCCAUUUGUAGGCCGUCAAAGUGUUCCUCUAGCUUUCUCACUUCGUCGAUGUAAGCUUCCAUCAACGGACUCUGAUAAUUCUUGUUUACUUGGCGGACGACAAGCUGUGAGUCACCCCUGACAAUGAGCUUCUUGAUCCCAAGGUCUGCCGCGAUCCGGAGACCGCCAAGCAAGCCUUCAUACCCUGCAGUAUUGUUUGUCGCUUGCUCCUUGGGAAAGUGCAUCUGGACUACAUACUUGAGGUGCUCUCCGGUGGGUGCGACAAGCAGCACACCAGCGCCGGCGCCUUGCAGCGAAAAGGCACCAUCAAAGUACAUCAGCCACUCUUUGUUUACUUCCUUGUCGGGGAUGCUCGUUUCUGGAAUUUCUUCAUCUGGUGUUGGCGUCCAUUCUGCUAUAAAUUCUGCCAAUGCUCUGCUCUGGAUAGUUGAAGUACUUUCAAACUUGAGGCCAAAGCUUGACAGUUCCAGUGCCCACUCAACAAUCCUGCCUGUCGCUUCUGGAUUCUGCAGUAUCCUCUUCAGCGGAAAGCGAGUGACAACUGUGAUCUCAUGUGCUUGGAAGUAAUGACGCAGCUUUCUCGAGGCCAUUAGAAGGCCGAAAAGCAAUUUCUGCACACCAGAGUACCUUGACCUAGCCCCCUGCAGAAGGGAGCUGACAAAGUAAACUGGGCGCUGCACCAUCUUCUUCUGUAUCUCGUCGUGCAUCUGCGCAGAUCUAUCUUUGUCGGGACCAGAGCUUGUCGGGGAAGCCCCCUGCUUGUCGCUGGAUGUGCUUGUCGUGGUUUCAGGCUCAUCAUCCGCCUCCCUCUCCGCUACUAACGCAACACUAACCACUUGAUUGGUUGCCGCUAUAUAGAGCAGCAACUUCUCUUGUGGCUUAGGUGCGACAAGUAUUGGGCGGGAGGACAGGUAUCUCUUCAAGUCUUGCAGCGCAGCCUCCGCUUCUGGAGUCCAUCUCAUUGGACCUGCCUUUUUCAAUAAUUUGAAAAAGGGCAGGGCGCGCUCAGCAGACCUAGAGAUAAACCUGCUGAGAGCAGCCACGCAACCGGCAAGUCUUUGUACAUCUUUGACGCGCUUUGGUGCUUCAAUCUGCUCAAUGGCCUUGAUCUUGUCGGGAUUGGCUUCAAUUCCCCGCUGAGACACAAAGAACCCGAGAAGCUUGCCGGAGGGAACUCCAAACACACACUUCUCUGGGUUGAGCUUGAGGCUGAUCUUGCGCUGAUUUGCAAAGGUCUCGUCUAAAUCUUGAAUCAAAGUUGCUAUGUCCUUGCUCUUGACCACUAUAUCAUCCAUGUAAGCUUCUACAUUUCUGUGUAUUUGUGGCUCAAGAGCGACCUGGACUACUCUUGCAAAUGUUGAACCAGCAUUUUUUAAUCCGAAAGGCAUCCGUACGAAACAGUACGUGCCACAUGGAGUAAUAAAUGCGGUCUUCUCCUCAUCCUCUUCUGCCAUGAAGAUCUGAUGGUAUCCUGAAUAUGCGUCAAGAAAUGAAAGAAAAUCACAUCCGGCUAUGGAGUCAACAAUCUGGUCAAUGCGCGGCAAAGGAAAUGGGUCUUUGGGACAAGCUUUGUUAACAUCAGUAAAAUCGAUACAAAGUCUCCAUUUCCCAUUUACCUUGCGCACGACUACAGGAUUGGCCAACCACGUAGGAUGGAGCACUCCUCUGACAAGGCCUACUGCUUCCAGCUUCUUGAUCUCUUCUGCAAUGAAUUCUUGGCGCUCCACUGCCUGCUUCCUGACCUUCUGCUUGACGGGCCGCGCAUGAGGACAAACGGCGAGGUGGUGCUCAAUCACUUUCCUGGGAACACCGGGGAUGUCAGACGGUUGCCACGCAAACACAUCGACAUUCGCCCGCAGGAAAGCAACGAGCGCGCUUUCCUAUUUGGGGUCGAGAUUGGCAUUGAUGGUGAAGGUACCACCAGUGCCGUCCUCCUUGGCAGACACCUUCUUCGUCUCUGGCGGAGCUGCCAUCGUCUUCUUACACUUGCCGUUGGAGCUCGAUGGUGCGUCCUCGACGGUAGCGCAGCACUCCGAAGAGGUGCGCUUGCCGGAGUGGGCAUCAGAACUCUUGCCGGACUUGGUCUUCUUCCCCCCGGGAGCUUCAGCGGCAAGUGACUCGCGUUCUGCUGCUGCUGCUGCUGCUUCCCGCUAGAUCUUGUCGGCACAGAUAAGAGCAUCCUUCUUGUCGGCACCUUCAGCAUGUUAUAUGCGUAAUGAGAGGCUGCCAUGAAUUUGGCGAGUGCUGGACGGCCAAGUAUCCCAUUGUAUGGUAAUGGAAUAUCGGCAACGUCAAAAGUGACCCUCUCAGUCCUGAAGUUCAGCUCGCUGCCAAAUGUUACCGGCAACGUGACUUUCCCCUUUGGCUUGCUCCUUCCCGGGUUGAUUCCUUGGAAUGUGCCAGUCUCUUCGAGCUCGCUGUCAGGGAUCUGGAGCUUCUGGAGUACAGCGGAGGAGAUGAGAUUCAAGCCGGCCCCGCUGUCAACUAGCAUCUUAGUGACCUUGAGGUUGCGGAUAGUUGGUGAAACCAACAUCGGCAGACACCCGACCGCAGUUGUGCGAUCAGGGUGGUCCUCAAUGUCAAAGAUGAUAGGCGUGCUGGACCAUUUCAGAAGUUUGCGCGAUUCGAUAGGUGGUUCUACUGCAUUGACUUCCCGCACCCACUGCUUGAGUUGGCGGUGUGAAGUAUGCAGAGAAGCACCGCCGUCAACGCACAAGACCUCUGUGGCUUUCUGAAACUCCUGCUCACUGGUGUCAACAUCAUCCAUGUCUUCGUCGUCGUCGUCGUCUUCAUCGUUGUCACGGUCGCGGGGAGGUCUGUCUCCUUGCCGCUGCUUGGCCUUUCCGCGGCGUCCUCCCCGGCCGGCGCGCUUCUUGCCAGAUUCUGCAGCACCACCUCGGGCCCUCUCCUUGUCUCGCCGCUCGUACUCAGCCUUUUGCUGCUGGACAAGCUGCUCGACCUUCUUGCAGCUCUGGAGGUCAUGGCCCUUGGUGCGGUGAAUCUUGCAGUACUGCUUGUCGGAGCCGUCCUGCUUGUCGGUGACCGCCACAGCCUGACAGUUGGUGCACGCGGCAACUUCCUUGCCGGAGCUACCAACUGUAGCCUUCUUGGCGCCACCUUCGUUGCCGGACUGCUCAACGACUAGCACCUCUUUGCCUUUCUUCUUCCUGUUGCGCCGCCGGUUUUUCUUUGCCGGGGAAGCAUCCUCACUAUCAGAUCCUUCUGCUCCGGUCUUCUCUCCGGGGAGUCUCCUCCCUUCCUCAGCACGUGCACACUUGUCGGCAGGGCAUACAGCUCACUGACGUCUCUGAUCCUACAUAUCGCCAUCUCCUCCUGCAUCUUGUGGUUACGCACGUUCUGAUGGAACGCGCUGAUGACCGCGGCGGGGUGGAUGUCUGGGAUGUUAUACUGUACACGGCUGAACCUCUGAAUGUACUUGCGCAGGGGCUCUCCUUCCUUCUGGGCGAGCAGAUGAAGGUCACUCUCUUGGCCAUGAGGUUUGUGGCCGCCUGUAAAGGCGCCAACAAACUGAUGGCACAGGUCUGCCCAGGAGGAUAUGGAGUUGUCCGGCAAGUGCAUGAGCCAGGACCUGACGUUGGGCUUGAGCACCAACGGGAAGUAGUUGGCAAGAAUCUUGUCGUCUCGCCCCCCGGCAGCCUGCACCGCGAUGGUGUAGAUGCUGAGGAACUCCGACGGAUGUGUCUUGCCGUCGUACUUCUCUGGUACAUCUGGUUUGAAAUUCUUCGUGCUGGGCCACUGGACUUGCCGCAGCUCACGAGUGAACGCAGGGCAACCUACCGCGUACGGCAAGUCGCUUGGUUCCCCUGGCGCGUGCAUGUCAACAGAGGGCCCAGCGCGCUGGUCUGAUUGACGUCGUGCUUCUCUUCGGCGCUCGAUGCAAGUACGAGCGUCUUCUUGUUGUCGUUCUUGAAGAACUUGGCGCUGAUCGCGACGAGCUCGCGGAUCUGACGACGCGGUGGAGUCGCUGUCGAGGUGGAUCCGGCGAGUCGGCGAUCUUGGCCUUCGGGGCGGAGAGUGCACAGUAGUUGCACCCCCACCAGUCUUGUCAUCUUCGGCUCGUGCCUGGCUGGCUUGCCGCGGCUGCGACGUGCUCGGCUGCCGUGGAGUGUCGCCAUUGGCGAAGCCGAUGAGACUCUGGAUGGCGGCCCUCCAAUCAUCGAUCUUGUCCGCCAUUGGAGGGUAGUCUAGGAGCAGCUGAGCUCGCACCAGAGCUUCUGCUGCAGUGGCGGGUGGCGGUGGCGACCGGUGCGAGGAGCGGGAUAUGCUCGGACUUCUAACCACGUUAGAAGGAGCAGUAUCCCAUCCAGGCGACCGUGUCUCGCUCGCGCCAGCAGGUUGACGUGCAUGGUGGUCCUGAGCACUCCGAGAUCCACCAGCUCGAUCUUGGUCUAGCGAACGCAUGGUACCGUGAGUACCAUGCGCUGCCGGUCCCGCACCUCGUGAGACGGGCGCGGUGCUUGCACGGACACCGAGGUCUUGGAGUGCGCCCGGUCAUUGUGGGAGCCGGCUACGCCGCCGAUGGGCAGCGCAGCCCUGUCCUUGGACCUGGCAGCAUCGUGAGCUCCCUCGUCGACGCGCGUUCUUCCGCCGGCGUCUGCCCCACCAACCGUUUGCUCCGGCGGUGGUUGGCUCGGCGCGGACGGAGCAGCUGCCUCCGAAACCUUCUUCUUCGGCGGCAUGUUGAUGAAGAUGAUGAAGAUCUAGCUCGCGAGAAUGCCGGAUCUGGGUCACACAACUUCGACGCCCCCUACCUGGCGCGCCAAAGAUGCCGGGGUACUGAUCCACGGGCACCUAUGGGACCGGCGGACCGGGUCCCUUUCGGUUCGGCGGGGGCGGAGGUCGUGCAAAUAGAAAAUCGAGGCGAUACAAGCGAGCGAUUUACCCAGGUUCGGGCUGCACGGAUGCGUAAAACCCUACUCCUUCUUUGUGGUUUGUAUUGGUUUCUUGCUCGGGAGCGUGGAGUGCUACAGUACACACCAGCAGCUAGCGAGACCGAGCGUGAGUGUUCGAACCCCCCUCUACGUUGCACACGGGCCUCCUUUUAUAUGUGCAAGGGGUCACCGACAGGUGGCAACGGAGGUAAAGGGCAAAAAUGGAAAGGUGUUGUGGUAGGCACAGCUACCUGCUACAGUGUAUCAUACCUAACCCUGACGGCAGGGGACCAGGGCCUUAAAUGCCCAUCUGUGUCGCUUAAACAGUGCGAAAAGGGACCGCCAGGGACGCCACCGUUCGCCACAAUGGCGAUCUUGUCAGCGCCGCUUGCCACCGCACGCCGCUGGCUGCACAGCCUCCCGCCACGUACGCCUGGAAGGGCCCCGGAGCGACACGUUGGUGGAUGUGCUGGAGUGCGGGCCCAGGGAGGUGGCUUGCCGCGGCAAGCGCCUUGCCGCUGUCGUUGUCUUGUCGCGUCCGGGAGCUUGUCGCUCACCGGGCCUUGCCGGGGCGCGUGGUGCGCCGCGGCAAGUUCCUUGAACUGCCUUGGGUGGCCUUUCCGGCAAGCUCCUCUUGCCAGGGUCUUGGGAUGCUUUUGUUAGCCUUCCCGGCAAGCUCCUCUUGCUGGGGUCUUGUCUUCUUAGCUUGUACACUUUGCUCUUGAAUGGCUCCAAAGGAACCACGGAGGACCUUGGCGGCCACCCGGCAAGCCUUGCCGCGGGAUGCUGCGACUGCCCGUGCACAAGUUCGGGAUACUAGGGUACCCCUACUCUAGUACACCGACAAUCCAAGAAUGAUAAUAUAACAGCAUGAAUAUUUCAGAAAUUAUAGAUAUGUUGGAGACGUAUCAAUCAUCUUGUGCUUUUGAUCUCCAUCUCCAAAGCAUCGCCAUGAUCUCCUUCAUUACCCGCUCGACACCUUGAUCUCCUUCGUUGCAUCGGGGUUGUCUCGCCAACUAGUGCUUCUACAACUAUUGCUAACGCAUAGUGAUAAGGUAAAGCAAUUACAUGGCAUUGGCCUUUCAUACAUUAAUCAAGAGACAACCCUACGGCACCUGCAAUAACGUAUAUCACAUCACAUCUUGACCAUAUCACAUCACAACAUGCCCUACAAAAACAAGUUAUACGUCCUCUACUUUGUUGUUGCAAGUUUUACUUUGGUGAUACAGGCUUCUAGGAAGAACCAUUCUUACCUACGCAAAAACCAAACGGUGAUUUUUCAAGGUUGCUGUUUUAACCUUCUUCAAGGACCGGCCGUAGUCGAAUUUGGUUCAACUAAAGUAGGAGAAGCAGACACCCGCCAGCCACCUUUAUGCAAAACAAGUUGCAUGUCUGUCGGUGGAACCGGUCUCAUGUACAUGGACAUGUAUGGUUCGUCCGGGCCGCUUCAUCCCACAAUGCCGCUGAGUCAAAAUAAGACGUUGGUGGUAAGCAGUAUGAACAUCACCGCCCACAAUUUCUUUGUGUUCUACUGGUGCAUAUCAUCUACGCAAAGACCUGGGUCAGAUGCCACUGUUGGGAAACAUUGCAUGGAAAACAAAAAAACUUCUAUGCAAACGCAAGAUCUAUCCAUGGAGAUGCAUAGCUACUAGAGGGGAGAGUGUGUCUACGCACCCUUUUAGACCGUAAGCGGAAGCAUUUAUUAACGCAGUUGAUGUAGUCGAACUUCUUCGCGAUCCAACCGAUCGAGUACCGAACGUAUGACACCUCCGCGCUUAGCACACGUUCAGCUCGGUGGCAUCCUUACCUUCUUGAUCCAGCAAGACGUCGAAGUAGUGGAUGAGUUCCGGCAGCACGACGGCGUGGUGACGAUGAUGCUGAUGCUAUCUCCGCAGGACUUCGCCUAAGCACUCUGAAAAUAUGACCGAGGGACGAAACUGUAGAGAGGGGCGCCGCACACGUCUAGGAGAUUGUUGUGUGUUAUGUGUGGCGCCCCUCCCACAUAUAUAUAGGUGGGGUGGGGAGAGGGGAGGCAGCCAAGAGGCGCCCCAAGUGGGGCUGAGUUCCACUUGGGCUCCUGUACAUAGUCGCUCCUCUUCCUUAUUUGUGCGUGGGUGGAAUGCAGGAGGAGGUGGCGCCCCCCUCCCCUUUCCUUUCUCUCACGAGGAGGGAAAAGCAGGAGGGGCCAACCCUCCCACUUUCCUUCCCCUAGGGCCAGCGGCCAGGGAGAGGUGCGCACCAGCCCUUUGUGGUCUGGUGUGUUCCCCCCUUUGGCCCAUUAAGCCAAUAUAGCCUCUCGGGGCUUCCCAGAACCCUUUCCGGUGAUCCGAUGACUACCGGUAUCUCCUGAAACACUUCUGGUGUCCAAAUAGUAUCGUCCUAUAUUUCAAUAUUUACCUCCGGACCGUUCCGGAGCUCCUCAACAUUUGGUCACCAAAUCAUAUAACUCAUAUAACACUAUAUCGUCAAUGAAUGUUAAGCGUGUGGACCCUACGUCCAAUAACGGAACCUGGAUGCCCAUAUUGGUUCCUACAUAUUCUACGAAGAUAUUUUAUCGGUCGAACCGUAAUGACAACAUACACAAUUCCCUUUGUCUGUCGGUAUGUUACUUGCCUGAGAUUCGAUCGUACGUAUCUUCAUACCUAGUUCAAUCUCGUUACUGGCAAGUUUCUUUACUCAUUCCGUAAUACACCAUCUCGUAACUAACUCCCUAUUCAUUUUGCUUGCAAGCUUCUUGUGAUGUGUAUUACCGAGAGGGCCCAGAGAUAGCUCUCGGAAACACGGAGUGACAAAUCCUAAUCUUGAUCCAUGCCAACUCAACAGACACCUUCGGAGAUACCUGUCGAGCAUCUUUAUAAUCACCCAGUUACGUUGUCACGUCUGGUAGAACACAAGGUAUUCCUCUGGUAUCCGGGAGUUGCAUGAUCUCAUAGUCGAAGGAAUAUGUAUUUGACAUUAAGAAAGCAGUAGCAAUAAACUGAACGAUCAUAUGCUAAGCUAAUGGAUGGGUCUUGGCCAUCACGUCAUUCUCCUAAUGAUGUGAUCCCAUUAUCAAGUGACAACACAUGUCUAUGGUUAGGAAACCUUAACCAUCUUUGAUCAACGAGCUAGUCUAGUAGAGGCUUACUAGGGACAUGGUAUUUGUUUAUAUAUUCACACAUGUAUUUAAGUUUCCAAUCAAUACAAUUCUAGCAUGAAUAAUAAACCUUUAUCAUGAAUAAGGAAAUAAAAAAUAAAAAAAUAUUAUUGCCUCAAGGUCAUAUUUCCUUCAGAUAAUAGUUUUUUGUAGUGCAAUAUAGCUUCACUAUAGCGAAUUUUAAAGACUGCGCCAUUUUUUGACAUAGCCAAUGUUCAAAAUAUAAGCUGAUUCAGAGAUUAUUGGCCGAUUUAUCACUUAUUGAUGGGUGACCGCAAAUAUUAUGCCUUAUCUUUGCUAUUUAUCAUUUUGUAUGAUUUAUUGGUCUGACAAGCGAUUAAUUAGGAAUCUAACGAUUAAUAGGGCCAGGCCCUUGUGGUAAGAAUUUUGCCUUCCCUUCAACAGCCUCUUGCACAGGCACAACAGACAUUUCGGCCUCUACCCACUUGAUAGGGUUUCAGCCACCCCCGCGUGCCAUUCUGCUCAACAUUGAUCACCCCGCCGACACCUUGCUCAUCUCCGGUGGCUCGAGCUAUCACCACCCAAACUAGGCUCUCUGCAUCUCCCCGAGUUCAUUUGUUGUGCUUUUGAAUUUCAGGGUCAUUUAGCUCACAAAAAUAGCAAGUGAAGUCCUACAUAAUGCAUGAAAUAUAUUUUGGACAUAAUAUUUCUUCGGGUUUCAAAUGGCAAAACACAUAAGUACCCUAACUAUUAGAAAGAUUCCCUCUGGUUUGUCCAAAGUGGGACUUUCCAGAUAUAUCUCGUGAGUGGUGAUGGUGAUGACGGUGAAGCUGGUCACGUCCCAGAGUGAGAUCUUGGGGUAUAAAACUUUUUCUUCGCAUGUGUCCCUUUGCGCCGUAACCAUGGACAAUAUUCAUUAUUUAACAUGCUGCUCGGGUUAAUGUUGACUGUGAAGGGAACAAUUUCAUGAAACUUUUCAUAAUCUUCUGACAUGUCUGUCUUGUACACUCCCACGAUGUUUCUUUUCCCUGAAAGAACUAUGUGGCGCUUUGGCUCAUCGUAUGAUGUAUUCGCGUCCUUAUCUUUUCUUUUUCUCGGCUUGGUAGACAUGUCCUUCGCAUAGAAAACCCGCGCCACAUCAUUGGCUAGGACGAAUGGUUCAUCUGCGUACCAAAGAUUGUUGAGAUCCACUGUUGUCAUUCUAUACUGCGGGUCUUUCUUUACCCCGCCUCCUGUCAGAUUGGCCCAUUUGUACCAAAACAAAGGGACCUUCAAACCAAGUCCAUAGUCAAGUUCCCAUGUCUCCUCUAUGUAACCAUAAUAUGUGUCCUUUGGCCUAUUGGUGUUUGCUGCAUCAAAUCGGACACCACUGUUUUGGUUGGUGCUCUUUUUAUCUUGGGCGAUCGUGUAAAAUGUAUUCUCAUUUAUCUCGUACCCUUUGAAAGUCAAUAUAGUCAAAGAUGGUAACUUGGCCAGCAAGUACAACUCAUCUGCAACACUAUCGUCAUGCAUGAGAUGUGUCUACAACCAACCGCCCAAAGUCGUCGUUUUUCAUGAGUAAUCCAGUUGUCAGACUGCUCCGGGUGUUUGGAGCAUAGAAUAUUCUUGUGUUCCUCGAUAUACGGAGCCACCAAGGCGGAAUUUGGUAGAACUAUGUAGUGUGCUUGCGCCCAAGAAUGCCCGUCCAUACAUAUUACUUGGUCCUUCCUAGCGUGCCUUUUCCACCAAGUCUGCCCUCAUGCCGCGAUUCGGGAACACCAAUCGGCUUACAAAACUCAAUGACCUCCUCUGUUUCAUGGCCCUUGGAGAUGCUUCCUUCCGGCCUAGCCUGGUUAUGAACAUAUUUCUUUAAGACUCGCAUGGACCUCUCAAAGGGGAACAUAUUGUGUAGAAAUACAGGACCCAAAAUGGCAAUCUCUUCGACUAGGUGAACUAGGAUGUGCAUCAUGAUAUUGAAGAAGGAUCGUGGGAACACCAACUUGAGACUGAUAAGACAUUGCAACAAAUCAUUCUGUAACCUUGGUAAGAUUUCUGGAUCGGUUACCUUCUGAGAGAUUGCAUUGAGGAAUGCACAUAGUUUCACGAUGGCUAAUCAAACGAUGUCCGAUAGAAGCCCCCUCAAGGCAACCGGAAGAAGUUGUGUCAUAAUCAUGUGGCAAUCAUGGGACUUUAGGUUCUAGAACUUUUUCUCUGGCAUAUUUAUUAUUCCCUUUAUAUUCGACGAGAAGCCAGACGGGACCUUCAUACUGAGUAGGCAUUCAAAGAAGAUUUCCUUCUCUUCUUUGGUAACAGCGUAGCUGGUAGGACCCUAACACUGCUUUGGAAGCAUGCCGUCUUUUUAGUGCAUAUUUUGCUGGUCCUCCCAUGCCUCCGGUGUAUCUUUUGUCUUCCCAUACACGCCUAAGAAGCCUAGCAGGUUCACACAAAGAUUCUUCAUCACGUGCAUCACGUCGAUUGCAGAGCAGACCUCUAGUUCUUUCCAAUUGGGUAGGUCCCAAAAUAUAGAUUUAUUCUUCCACAUGGGUGCGAGUCCGUCAGCGUCAUUCGGAACAGAUUGUCCGCCAGGACCCUUUCCAAAGAUUAUUUUUAAAUCCUUGACCAUAUCAAGUAUAUCAUCACCAGUACGGUGGCGAGGCUUCGUUCGGUGAUCUUCCUCACCUUUGAAAUGCUUGCCUUUCUUUCUUAAGAGAUGAUUGAUCGGAAGAAAUCGACGAUGUCCCAGGUACACAUUCUUCUUACAUGUAUCCAAAUAUAUAUUUUGGGUCUCAUCUAAACAGUGUGUGCAUGCGUGGUAUCCCUUGUUUGUGUGUCCUGAGAGGUUACUAAGAGCAGGCCAAUCAUUGAUGGUUACAAACAACAACGCUCGUAGGUCAAAUUCCAGCUGUUUCUGCUCAUCCCACAAACGUAGACCUUUUUUGUCCCACAACUGUAAAAGUUCUUCAACUAAUGGAUUUAGGUAGACAUCAAUGUCGUUGCCGGGUUGCUUGGGGCCUUGGAUGAGAACUGCCAUCAUAAUGAACUUCCGCUGCAUGCACGACCAAGGAGGAAGGUUAUAGAUACAUAGAGUCAACAGGCCAGGUGCUAUGAUUGCUGCUCUGCUCCCCAAAAUGAUUAAUGCCAUAUGCACUUAAAUCAAAUCAUAGGUUCCUUGCGUCAUCUGCAUAGUCCCCCACACUUUCUCAUGAUUUUUCUCCACUGCGACCCAUCAGUGGGUACUCUCAACUUCCCGUCUUUCUUACGGUCUUCUUUGUGCCAUCGCAUUAACUUAGCAUGCUCUUUGUUUUGGAACAAAUGUUUCAACUGUGUUAUUAUAGGAGCAUACCACAUCACCUUGACAGGAAUCUUCUUCCUGGGUUGCUCGUCCUCAACAUCACCAGGGUCACUUCAACUGAUCUUAUAGCGCAAUGCACCGCAUACCGGGCAUGCAUUCAAAUCCUCGUACUCACCGUGGUAGAUAAUGCAGUCAUUAGGGCAUGCAUGUAUCUUCUGCACCUCUAAUCCUAGAGGGAAAACAUCCUUCUUUUCUUCAUACGUACUGUAGGGCGAUUCGUUGUCCUUUGGAAGCAUCGUGUUCAACAUUACCAACAACUUUUCAAAUCCCUUGUCAGAUACACCAUUCUCUGCCUUCCAUUGCAGCAAUUCCAGUGUGGUACCCAGCUUUUUCUUGUCAUCUUCGCAAUUUGGGUACAACAAUUUCUUGUGAUCCUCUAUCAUGCGCUACAACUUCAGCUUCUCCUUUUCACUUCCGCAGUUUCUCUUUGCAUCAGCAAUGGCCCAACCAAGAUCGUCAGCAAGCUCAUCUGUUGCCUCUUCUUCAACUUUUCCCCCAUUGUUGUACCAUCAUAUUCAGGGAACCCAUGGCCAGGACAGCUGUCAUCAUCCUCUUCUUCUUCAUUCUCUUCCAUUAGGACCCCUCUUUCUCCGUGAUUGCUCCAACAGUUAUAGCCGGACAUGAAACCAGACAUAAACAGGUGGACGUGAAUGGUUCUUGAGUUAGAGGAAUUGUGAUCAUUCUUACAGACAGCACAUGGACAACGCAUAAAACCAUCCACCCGCUUGUUUGCCUCAACCGCAACCAGAAAAGUACGCACGCCAUUAAUGGACUAGGGAGAGCAUCGGUCAUUGUACAUCCAUCGGUUAUCAUCGGUCAUCGUACACAACAUCGAAAAGACCAAAUUAAUACAAGUUCAUACACACUUAUUCUCAUAAAACAACACACAAACUCUCUAGCUAAAGCAUUUAAAUGCGACAACAAUGCAAUCAAGAUCACAAAUAAGGUAACAAUUGAUGCAACAGCAUAGUGAUACCAAGCCUCUUUAUUAACGACAUAUUUUCUAAUCUUUCUAAUCCUCAAGCGCAUUGCAUCCAUCUUGAUCUUGUGAUCAUCGACGACAUUGACAACAAACAACUCCAGUAUCAUCUUCUCUUCUUCAAUUCUUUUCAGUAUUCUUUCAAAUACUCGCUUUCUUUUUCAACUAAAUUUAACUUCUCCGCAAGAGGGUCGGUUUCCGGUUCACAUACCUCCUAGAUAAAAAAUAUCUAUGUCAACUUUAUGGGCAUAAUUGUCAUAAACACGAAAAUGCAACAAAUAGUUAUAAAAGAGAGUAUACACCACAUUCGAAUCAUAAACCGGACGAGGGCCGACGGGGACGGAUAUCAAAAUCAUGCCACUAUGUGUAACAAACAACCAUACAGGUAAGAAAAUUAUACAAGUAACUAUCUAAAUCACACAAACAUGAUUUUUUUUAUAAAAAUGAUAAGAACAAGAGGCUCACCAAAGGUGGUGCCGGUGACGGGAUGGUGGGGGCAAUCGACGGUGGUUAGGAUGGGGACAGCAAGGCACUAAGUAAACAACACCUACACAUGCACACUAAGAAGUAAAUUUGAACUCAAGUUGUAUAUAAUUCAAACAAACUCCCACCUAUAAUUAAUCCCAAACUAAAACCCACAAAGAGAGAAGUGCAUUUUUCAACCCCGAACUCUUGCCCUAGUCUAAUUUACAACCCCGUACUUCAAUACCAUCUAAAUUACAACCCUCAACUCUCAAAACCGGUCAGUAUUCAACCCUCCCCUCCUUGUUGACUGGUUUUGACCAGGGGCGACCAGUUUUGACCAGUCAAUGGAUCCAAUCAGCAUGCCACAUGAGAAAUAAAUUCAAAAUUUCAAGAAAAUAUAAUUAAAAAUCUGUAAGAUUGAGAAAAAAUCCGAAAUAAAAUUUUCCGGGAAAACAGUUUGUGAAAAAAUUUUGAGAACUUUUUCCUGUAAUUUUCGGGGAAAAAAUAAAAAUAAUAAUUUUUUUUGGAAAUUACUUUUCCUAGAAAUUUUAACUUUUUUAUUUUACAUUUUUAAAUAUUUUUCUUGGGAAUUUGAAAUUUUUCCCUGGAGUUUUUUUAUUUUAAGUAUUUUUUGGUUUUUCAUGGAAAUAUUGAUAUUUUUGUUUUUCGGAAAUUAGUUUUUUUAUUUUUCCCUGCUUUUUUCCUGGAAAUUUGAUUUUUUUUUUAAUUUCUUUUCCUGGAUUUUUUUAUUUUACAUAUUUAAAUUUUUUGCUGACAUGGCAUGCUGACUGGACCUGUUGACUGGUCAAAACCGGUCAACAGAGAGGAGUGGGUUGAAUCCUAGCCGGUUUUGUGAGUUGGGGGUUGUAAUUUAGACGACAUUGGAGUUUGGGGUUGUAAAUUAGACCAGUGCAAGAGUUCGGGGUUGAAAUAUGCACUUCUCUCCACUCACCCACAAAUCACUAUACUUAUAGAGCAUUGCAAGAGCUAAUCUGCAAUGAGAGACGAAAGGACAAAGUUGCUAGCCUUUGUGAACACUUGGAUGGAUGGGGUGCUUUCAAAUCUUGACAAAUUUUGUCAAAAAUGAAGGAUGGGCUUGAGCAAGACGGGAAGAAUAGAGAGGAGAGGAAAGGGGAAAAUGGGCUCGGGCUGGAUGAAGGGUUUAUAUAGGGAUGUCUUUAGUCCCGGUUGGUUAUACAAACCGGGACUAAAGAGGCCCAGCCUGACGCCAGCCUACCACCACCCUUUUAGUCCUGGUUUGUGACACAAACCAGGACUAGAGGUACGCCACCAACCGGGACUAAUGAUGCCCACGCCGUAGACAUUGGAACAGGGACUAAUGGUCACAUUACUACCGAACCGUAAACGAACCGGGACUAAUGAGGUGAACGUAAGGUCAUUUUUCUACUAGUGCCCCGACUCUUCCCCAAGAACUCAAUCACCAGCACAGCCCUAUUUGAAUUUUGAAAUAACAAAAGCAGGAUAUAUGUUGUUGUUAUAUAUUGAGGUAGUAUUGUCCUACUCCCACCGUCCCAAAAUAAGUGACUCGACUUUGUACUAAAGUUAGUGCAAAGUUGAGUCACUUAUUUUGAGACGGAGGAAGUAUUUAAAGUCUUAAAGCACACACCGUUGAUUGUUUCCAUUUUUACCUUAUUAGUGCUUGAAAAGGGUAGGACUUUGGAGAUAAAAUCGAUUAAUCGUCCGAUUUCCGAUUAAUGUCUAUAAUAUCCGAAACAUUGAUUACCACGUAAAUUUUUUCCUUAUUAUAAACACAAGAAAUACAUUGCACUACGAGAAACAUGAAACAGAUACAUGAUACAAACGAAUAUCCCACAUUAGUGCUCAUAUAAAUCAAGCAUAAACAAAUAGGAUAUGUAACAAUUAGUGUUGGGAAAAAAUGCUAGAUACGCGGAGCCUAUGCAAGACUUUUGUGUGUUAUUUAAUGUGAACAUUAAUUUAAAGAUACGCAUAAAUGCAACAAGGAGCCUAUGCAAGACUUUUGUGUGUUAUUUAAUGUGAACAUUAAUUUAAAGAUACGCAUAAAUGCAACAAGGAAUCGAUCGAUAUCCACAACUUGGUGGUGGCUCUAUAUAAAUACCAGCAAUGGAGCUUGGCAGCGUGGAUCCCAUAUAGGAGAAGGAAGAAGCAGGGCAAGUAGAAGUGCUCUCUUCUUGUAGUAUGGCAAUCCUCAAUAGCAAUACAAGGACAAUUGUCUACACCGUGGCUGUUGCUCUCUUGGUCGUCAUGAUGAUGUCCUCUUCGUUGCAAUCUUGUCAUGGAACUGAUGAAGGUAUGCAACAAUGUCCUUGUUUUAUCUUUGUAUACAUGCUAAACUGAAUUGCUGAUGCCGCAAUGUAAUUCAUUUGUAGAGGAGGGUUGGGAGUGCCGUAAAUUAGUGAACUGCACUGCUCCGGGAUGCCUCGCUUAUUGCAGACUUAUAAAACAUGGUGGAGGUUAUCCUCACAGUAUCAUGUCCAAAUGCCGUCACAACAGAACGGAGUGCUGCUGCCGAGACUACAAUCAGCCGCCGCCGCCGCCGGCGUCGCCGCCAAGAGAUCUCGUGCUUGUGCACAACAACGCUGGUGCAUGAAGUCGAUGCAUGUUUUGAUGAACCUGCAGUCGGAGCAUCCGAUGAAAAUCAAAUAAAUUUGUUUUAGCUUCAUACAUACUCCAAGCAAACAAAUGUUGUACUUUGAACGACCAUGUUCUGUUCGACACCUGAUUAACAAUACUUCCGUAGAACUUCCUCGUAUGAAGUUAGUAGGCCUCUCGGGCUUCUCGCGGCCCGUGUUGCUCCCUGCCGGCAACGUUGGAGCGAAACCCUACCUACUGGCUAGGCUCCCCUCCACACCGGUCCCCAAUCACAGCCGUUGGUCUACGCUGCCGAGCAAAGACCGCAUGGCAUUGGCUCGGCGCAAGGUGUGCGGCACUCCCACCCCCACCCUCAUGGCGUUGCCUCAGAUGAUAGGUGUGGAGUCACUGAUCUUUUAGUUUCUGCUGCGAUCAUACCCAAGCCCUUAUUUCCGGAGAUGCUUUCGCUUCGACGUUUCACCACUUGGUUGAAAACGACCUAUGGGCAUUCGGGCUCUUGACGCGUGCAUUUCUUUGGGAUGUGGCGUGGUAGAAAUUAUGUGUGGCUGCAGACUCUCAAUCAAUAUUUUCUUAACGUGGGUAGCGAUCUUCUUGGUGCGGUUAGCCAUUAUAGGUGUUUGUGGGCCAGCACUGCUGUUGACUUGGGGGCCUAAGAUUUCUUCGGAUGUCUAUGUGCGUUAUUGGUCGCCGCCGCGUGAUUGGUCGCCCGCGUGUACGUCUUCCCAGGAUCCACGUGCAGUUAUGGAGCAAUCAUACGCGAAAUCUUAAAUCAUUCAGCCUCAUUUGAAUUUUGUACUUUUAGUCAUGAAUUUAGGAUCUCAAACUUCGAAGCUCACAAUCUUACAAAGCAUGCACUCUCUCUUGGAGGUGGCCGCCAUGUCUGGUUAGACCAUCCCGGAGAUCUUCUAUCCGUUCCUGUAAACAUUGUGACGACUUAAUAAAGCUUUGCAAGUUUAUUUAAAAAAAAGUUGCGAUCGCUGUCAUAAUCGGUGCCCCUUAAUGCGUUUAGUCCAGAAAGCUGCCGCUGCAUGAGGCUUCAUGCAUGGUCGGUUGCAUGCAUGAACGGCCUGCGGUGUUCUUUCUGCUGAUGGCGCGUGACACGGUUUGUUGGGAUGUUUGACCGCGUGACUCCGACGCCACCGCUCCACCAUCGUACAUGACUAUAAAGCUCUCCUCCUCCUCCUGUCUCGCCUGGCCAGCCCUGCCCACCCCACCAUCGAGCUCGGUUUCCCUGUCCGGCGUGGCCCCGUCUUGCUCUCCUGGAGCGACGGCGGCGGCGUCGUCCGGUCGUCCACGUCCAAUGUCCUUUUCUGCCGCGGCCCUUCCCAUGCCGGCCUCGGACAUAGCGACCAGGUCCUUUGCACUGGCGGGCGGCGGCGGCUCGAGCCCAAGAGGACAUCUCAAGAGACACAACCUUGGAGCGGCGCAGCGUGUCGCAGGCUCACAGCGCCGUGGCUCGGAACACGGCAACGAUGGCGUGGUUGUGCUCGGUGGCGUUCAGGCCUUGAAGGUGAGGUAGCACGCGAGCGGCUCCUCGAGGCCCUCGCCGACGCCCGGAUGUCGUCGUCCGCCGCGAUCAUCUCCGCCAUGCUCGCCGGGAAGUCUGGGUCCCCCGACUCCUUUUCCAUGACGAGGCUCUCCUACAGCCAGGGCCGGCGCCUCGCGCGUCGCCUCUAGCUUGUCAUUUGGAAGAUCACGCACUUGUGUGCCAUGCUAAUAAAAAGUACAUGCUUUUGUUCCGCAGAUCUAAAUGUGAUGAGAACCAACGAUCAGCCAAACCCUCUGACAUAUCACAGAACCAAGACGGCGUCACUAGCUCUGCGACGGCCGUCGGCACGCACCGUCUCUUCCGUGCACAGUACGCAUUAAAUAAACCGCCGUACACGCACUGAAAAACUGCACGCGUCCAACAUCCCGAAGUGAAGCAACGUCUCACGAUUCAGUGAGCAGGCGAGCCCGUCCACGCCCAUGAAUUUUCGGUAGGUUGUUCUACUUUUAUGUACCGUCGCCUGUGGAGGAACUUGCCUGGUUUAAUCGUGUGAACUCUUGUAUAUUACUCCCUCCGUCCCAUAAUAUAAGAGAGUUUUUGACACGCUCAUAUAUUAUGGGACAGAGGAGUAGUAUCUAAGAUAAGCAGACAUUAGUCAACGUGCAUACCUCUAGCAAUGGAAGUCACUUAUGUUGAUGCUUGCUUCUGUCAUGUGUUAGGAGUCUAUCAGUUUAAUUACCAUUGUUGUAAUGACAUGUUUAAUGUUUUGUUAUUGCCAGUUCAUUUUGAUGUACUGCUGAUCCUGAGAUGUCAGUUCAUUUGAUCACAAACAUGUUUGCUUUCAUGUGUACUACUGCUUGAUGAUUAUUACACGAGAAACACUCACGCCAAAUAAUUAAGUCACACUACUACAUGACCCUUUAACACCACCUCCGAUGCUUUCAGCAACUUGAGAAGUGUCUCCUGCUUGGUGCAUACAAUUAUAUAUAUUUCAGUGGUGGCAAGUUUGUCCCCAAUGAUUUUGUAUGGUUAUUAUUUUUAACCAGUUGGAUUCCAGGAAAGCAAAACCAAAAUACACAAAGGAGGCCGUUCUCGUUGGUACGACAAGUCAAAAGAGUGUUCUGCUUAAGAAUUGAACAUAUAAACGACGCUGCGCUACCCGCCAUUCUAGCACACCUGAGCGAAAUAGCAAUUUUUGACCGCUCGAUGAAUUUACUGUGCGUGUUUUUACCCUGGUGGCAGGCUGGCAGCUGGUCAGCCGCCGGUCGCUUUUGCACACGUAACCUCCUUCUUGAGCUGGAUGACUGAUGGGGUCGUUCGCCUAUGGGAACAGGGAGCAGAGGCUGGAUUCUCUCGGGGCUGUGUAGGCGACUGCUGAAUGUGUGCAAUGUAUUUAUUUGGUCCUGUGUUGUGUUUCGCUCAUGUGCCGCAAAGAGUAUUUAACUUGACAGAAUCGUGGAUUCGUUUUUGAAAGCAAGUCCAGUACUGGAUCCUCAGUUAAAAUUUCCCACGAUUUACAGUAUAUAUAUCGUGGUUGUGUUUCGUUUCAGUUUAGAAAUAUAAUUUUUAUCUGGUGAAUACCAUAUAUUUAGAUCAUUAAUACGUGAUCGUGAAGCAUUGAUAUUCACUUUAUAUGGAAAAUAUNNNNNNNNNNNNNNNNNNNNNNNNNNNNNNNNNNNNNNNNNNNNNNNNNNNNNNNNNNNNNNNNNNNNNNNNNNNNNNNNNNNNNNNNNNNNNNNNNNNNNNNNNNNNNNNNNNNNNNNNNNNNNNNNNNNNNNNNNNNNNNNNNNNNNNNNNNNNNNNNNNNNNNNNNNNNNNNNNNNNNNNNNNNNNNNNNNNNNNNNNNNNNNNNNNNNNNNNNNNNNNNNNNNNNNNNNNNNNNNNNNNNNNNNNNNNNNNNNNNNNNNNNNNNNNNNNNNNNNNNNNNNNNNNNNNNNNNNNNNNNNNNNNNNNNNNNNNNNNNNNNNNNNNNNNNNNNNNNNNNNNNNNNNNNNNNNNNNNNNNNNNNNNNNNNNNNNNNNNNUAUGCCAGUGUUUUUUUUUUUGAGAAAAACUGCCAGCCGUUGGGAUAAAGAGCAGGAUUACAACCCAUUCACGGCCUUGACCUAGUGGGCCUGUUGGCCAACCCAUUCGAUUUGGUUGCCUGCUGAGUACUUGACUGCAAUUCAGCUACGCCCUCUACUAUCUGAACUUCUUGAGGCAUUUCAGCAACAGUAACUGCUUCAGACCCAGUGGGCCUGAUGCAUUAGUACUGAUGACUGUCUAGUUCUGGAUCAACCGUUGUAGUUUCUAUUGAUUUGAAUUAGACAGAAUUCUGUUUCAUGUUUCGGAUUUGCCACUUCUAGCUAAAAGUUGCCAAGCACUACGAAAAAAACAUAUCCAUGAUGAUGCGCGUUUGUCACAGUAGGUCACGUUUUCUAUCACGCAUGUACAUACAUAAUGAUUUUACGACAGAAUUAAGACAGUCAUACCCUGCCUAAUGCGGCAUGCCCUAAUGCAAACAUUCCCAGUACAAAAGUCAUGGUGAAUUUCGGCCUCUCCCCACUCGAUAGGGUUUCAGCCACCCCCGCGUGCCACCCUGCUCAACAUUCAUCACCCCGCCGGCACCAUGCUCGUCUUCGGUGGCUUGAGCUAUCACCACCCGAACUAGGCUCUCUGCAUCUUCCCGAGUUCAUUUGUAGUGCUUUUGAAUUUCAGGGUCAUUUAGUGAUACCUCCAUUUUGCAUCAUACUUUUAUAUCGAUAUUUAUUGCAUUAUGAGCUGUUAUUUCACAUUAUGUCACAAUACUUAUGGCUAUUCUCUCUUAUUUUACAAGGUUUACACAAGGAGGGAGAAUGAUGGCAGCUGGAAUUCUGGGCUGGAAAAGGAGCAAAUAUUAGAGACCUAUUCUGCACAACUCCAAAAGUCCUGAAACUCCACGGGAUACCUUAUAAUAAAUAAUGAAAAAUCCUCGCCAAAGAUGAAGACCAGGGGGGCCACACCCUGUUCACGAGGGUGGGCCCCCCCCCUCCUAAGGCGCGCCCCCUAUCUCGUGGGCCCCUUGGUGGCUCUCCGAUGACCAUCUUCUCCUAUAUGAAGUCUUUCGUCGAGAAAAAAAAUAGGAAGCAACCUUUCGGGACGAAACUCCGCCGCCACGAGGUGGAACCUUGGCGGAUCCAAUCAAGAGCUUCGGCAGAGCUGUUCUGCCGGGGAAACUUCCCUCCCGGAGGAGGAAAUCAUCGCCACCAUCAUCACCAACGCUCCUCUCAUCGGGAGAGGGCAAUCUCCAUCAACAUCUUCAUCAGCACCAUCUCAUCUCAAAAUCCUAGUUCAUCUCUUGUACCCAAUUCUUGUCUCCAAGUCCGGGAUCGGUUCUAGUAGGUUGCUAGUAGUGUUAAUUACUCCUUGUAGUUGAUGCUAGUUGGUUUAAUUGGUGGAAGAUCAUAUGUUCAGAUCCUAUAUGCAUAUUAAUACCCCUCUGAUUAUGAACAUGUUUAUGCUUUGUGAGUAGUUAGGUUUGUUCCUGAGGACAAGGGAGAAGUCUUGCUAUUAGUAGUCAUGUGAAUUUGGUAUUCGUUCGAUAUUUUGAUAAGAUGUAUGUUGUCUAGCCUCAGCUUUCUGAUAACAAUCGCACCAUGCUUGAUACUUCUUGUGCUGGCUCUUCUAUGAUAAAGACUAUUGUACUCAAAUGGGAUUUAUUGGAUAGAAUUAAACGCAACUAUGAAGAUUGGGACCUCGACAAUGGUAAUGAGUCAGGUAUGACACCUAAGUUUGAUUGUGUUAAAUCUUUUAUGGAUACCGAUAUUUUCCGUAAGUUUAGCACUAAAUAUGGACUUGAUUCUGAGAUAGUAGCUUCUUUCUGUGAAUCUUUUGGUACUUAUGUUGAUCUCCCUAAGGAGAAGUGGUUUAAAUAUCAUCCUCCCAUAGAAGUAAAAGUAGUUGCACCUAUUAAAGUUGAAGAAAAGACUAUCACUUAUAAUGAUCCUAUUGUUCCUACUUCUUAUGUUGAGAAACCACCUUUCCCUGUUAGAAUAAAGGAUCAUGCUAAAGCUUCAACUGUGCUUCGUAAAAGCAAUAUUAAAACAUAUACACCUCCUGAGCAAGUUAAAGUUGAACCUAAUAUUGCUAUUGUUAAAGAGCUCUUGUCUGAUAAUAUUGAUGGGCAUGUUAUUCAGUUCUGCGGUGAAACUGCUAGAUUGCUAAACCUUGUGUUAAUGAUAAACAUAGACCUGUGGUAGGCGUGCCUAUUAUUUCUGUUAAAAUAGGAGAUCAUUGUUAUCAUGGCUUAUGUGAUAUGGGUGCUAGUGCUAGUGUUAUACCUUAUGACUUGUAUAAGAAAUCGAGCAUGACAUUGCACCUGCUGAGAUAGAAGAUAUUGAUGUCACAAUUAAACUUGCUAAUAGAGAUACUAUUUCAGCAAUGGGAAUUGAAAGAGAUGUUGAAGCCUUGUGCGGGAAAACUAAAUAUCCUGCUGAUUUUCUUGUUCUUAGUUCCCCACAAGAUAGCUUUUGUCCCAUUAUAUUUGGUAGACCCUUCUUGAAUACAGUUAAUGCUAGGAUAGACCGCGAAAAGAAUGUUAUUACUAUUAGCUUGGAUGAUAUGACUCAUGAAUUUAAUUUCUCUAAAUUUAGUAAACAACACCGUGCAGAAGAAUUGCCUAGUAAGGAUGAAAUUAUUGGUCUUGCUUCUAUUGCCGUACCUCCUAGUGAUCCUUUAGAACAAUAUUUGCUAGACCAUGAGAAUGAUAUGUUUAUGAAUGAAAGAAGGGAAAUAGAUGAAGUAUUCUUUAAACAGGAACCUAUGCUGAAACACAAUUUGCCUGUUGAAAUCCUAGGGGAUCCUCCACCACCUAAGGGUGAUCCUGUGUUUGAGCUUAAACCGUUGCCUGAUAAUCUUAAAUAUGCUGUUAUUAUUAGUGCUACCCUUUCAGAGCAUGAAGAAGAAAGAUUAUUGAAAACUCUGUAGAAGCACCGUGCUGCUAUUGGAUAUACUCUUGAUGAUCUUAAGGGCAUUAGUCCCACUCUAUGUCAACAUAAAAUAAAUUUGGAAGUAGAUGCCAAACCAGUUCGUGAUCCUCAACGAUGUCUGAAUCCUAAAAUGAAAGAAGUGGUAAGAAAAGAAAUACUAAAGCUUCUGGAGGCAAGUAUAAUUUAUCCCGUUGCUGAUAGUCAGUGCGUAAGUCCUAUUCAUUGUGUCCCUAAGAAGGGAGGUAUUACUGUUGUUCCUAAUGAUAAAGAUGAAUUGAUUUCACAAAGAAUUAUUACAGGUUAUAGGAUGGUAAUUGAUUUCCGCAAAUUAAAUAAGGCUACUAAGAAAGAUCAUUACCCCUUACCUUAGAAAGAUUAUGCAAACAUACACAUUACUGCUUUCUAGAUGGUUAUUCUGGUUUCUCUCAAAUACCUGUGUCGGCUAAAGAUCAAUCAAAGACUACUUUUACAUGCCCUUUUGGUACUUUUGCUUAUAGACGUAUGCCUUUUGGUUUAUGUAAUGCACCUGCUACCUUUCAAAGAUGCAUGAAGGCUAUAUUCUCUGACUUUUGUGAAAAGAUUUGUGAGGUUUUCAUGGACGACUUUUCCGUCUAUGGCUCUUCUUUUGAUGAUUGCUUGAGCAAUCUUGAUCGAGUUUUGCAGAGAUGUGAAGAAACUAAUCUUGUCUUGAAUUGGGAAAAGUGCCACUUUAUGGUAAAUGAAGGUAUUGUGUGGGGGCAUAAAGUUUCUGAAAGAGGUAUUGAAGUUGAUAAAGCCAAGGUUGAUGCUAUUGAAAAGAUGCCAUGUCCUAAGGACAUCAAAGGUAUAAGAAGUUUCCUUGGUCACGCCGGAUUUUAUAGGAGGUUCAUUAAGGACUUCUCAAAAAUUUCUCGGCCUCUGACUAAUUUAUUACAAAAAGAUAUACCAUUUGUCUUUGAUGAUGAUUGUGUAGAAGCAUUUGAAAUACUUAAGAAAGCAUUAGUCUCUGCACCUAUUGUUCGGCCACCCGAUUGGAAUUUACCCUUUGAAAUUAUGUGUGAUGCUAGUGAUUAUGCUAUAGGUGUUGUUCUAGGGCAAAGAGUUGAUAAAAAUUUAAAUGUUAUCCAUUAUGCUAGUAAGACUCUAGACAAUGCUCAAAGAAAUUAUGCUACUACUGAAAAAUAACUUUUAGCAGUUGUAUUUGCUUGUGAUAAGUUCAGACCUUAUAUUGUUGAUUCUAAAGUAACUAUCCACACUGAUCAUGCUGCUAUUAAAUAUCUUAUGGAGAAGAAAGAUGCUAAACCUAGACUUAUUAGAUGGGUUCUCUUGCUACAAGAAUUUGAUUUGCAUAUUGUUGAUAGAAAAGGAGCUGAGAACCCCGUUGCAGACAACUUAUCUAGGUUAGAGAAUGUUCUUUAUGACCCACUACCUAUUGAUGAUAGCUUUCCUGAUGAACAAUUAAAUGUCAUAAGUACUUCUCGUAGUACCCCUUGGUAUGCUGAUUAUGCUAAUUACAUAGGUGCUAAAUUUAUACCACCUAGCUUCAGAUACCAACAAAAGAAAAAGUUCUUCUAUGAGACAUUACUUUCGGGAUGACCCACAUCUUUAUAAAGAAUGAGUAGAUGGUGUUAUUAGACGUUUUGUACAUGAGCAUGAACAGGAACAGAUCCUACGCAAGUGCCACUCCGAAACUUAUGGAGGACACCACGCGGGAGAUAGAACUGCACAUAAGGUAUUGCAAUCUCGUUUUUAUUGGCCUACUCUCUUCAAGGAUGCCCGUAAGUUUGUCCUAUCCAUUGAUGAAUGUCAAAGAAUUGGUAAUAUUAGUAGACGUCAAGAAAUGCCUAUGAACUAUUCACUUGUUAUUGAACCAUUUGAUGUUUAGGGCUUUGAUUAUAUGGGACCUUUUCCUGCCUCUAAUGGAUAUACACAUAUUUGAUUACGUUACUAAGUGGGUAGAAGCUAUUCCAACUAGUAGUGCUGAUCAUAACACUUCUAUUAAAAUGCUUAAAGAAGUUAUUUUUCCGAGGUUUGGAGUCCCUAGAUAUUUAAUGACUGAUGGUGGUUCUCAUUUUAUUCAUGGUGCUUUCAAUAAAAUGCUUGCUAAAUAUGACGUCAAUCAUAGAAUUGCAUCUCUGUAUCACCCACAGUCUAGUGGUCAAGUAGAAUUGAGUAAUAGAGAACUCAAAUUAAUUUUGUAAAAGACUGUCAAUAGAUCUAGAAAGAAUUGCUCCAAGAAACUUGAUGAUGCAUUAUGGGCCUAUAUAACUGCAUAUAAAAAUCCUAUGGGUAUGUCUCCGUAUAAAAUGGUAUAUGGAAAAGCAUGUCACUUACCUCUCAAACUAGAACAUAAGGCUUAUUGGGCUAUUAAAUAGCUCAAUUAUGAUUUCAAACUUGCCGGUGAAAAGAGGUUAUUUGAUAUUAGCUCACUUGAUGAAUGGAGAACCCAAGCUUAUGAAAAUGCGAAGUUGUUUAAAGAGAAGGUUAAAAGAUGGCAUGACAAAAGGAUACAAAAGCGUGAGUUUAAUGUAGGUGAUUACGUAUUGCUAUACAACUCUCGUUUAAGAUUUUUUGCAGGAAAACCACUCUCUAAAUGGGAAGGCCCCUAUGUUAUCGAGGAGGUCUAUCGCUCCGGUGCCAUAAAAAUCAACAACUUUGAAGGCACAAAUCCGAAGGUGGUAAAUGGUCAGAGAAUUAAACAUUAUAUCUCAAGUAAUCCCAUAAAUGUUGAAACCGAUAUUGUUGAAACCAUAACCCCGGAGGAAUACAUAAGGGACACUUUCCAGAACGUUUCAGACUCCGAAAAGGAAUAGGUAUGUGGUAUGAUAGGUAAACCGACUCCAAAACAAUUUUUAAGGCAACAUUUCUCCGUUUUGGAAUAUUUAGAAAAAUAGAAAAUUAAGUAGCAGUCCGGGAAGGACACGAGGGCCCCACGAGGGUGGAGGGCGCGCCCUACCCCCCUGGGCACGCCCCUACCUCGUGAGCUCCUCGUGUGCCUUCCGGACUCUGUUUUCUUGCACGAUACGUAUUUUGGUCGGUAAAAAUUCAUUAUAUAAUCUCCCGGGGGUUUUGACUCCCGUAUCACACAAAAAUCUCCUGUUUUUGUUUUGAGCUGUUUUUCUGACAGAUCUAGAUUAUCAUGACGUCCCCAAGUGCUUCCAAGGACAAGUUCUUCGAGAAGAUCAUCAACCCUUACCUCGCGGAGGUGCUGCGACACCCUCAAACCAUUGAGAUGCGUGAUGGGUUGCUGCACAUCCGCGAUGUUGAGGGACCAAAGGGAACCGGAAGCGUGGAGAUGAGGCUUGAAGCAAUGGAGCAACAAAUUUUCAAGUGUCAGGGGAUGGUGGACCGUGGAAUCAACGCUAGCCACACGAUGCUCGCGGAGUUCAGUAACAACUACAAGUCGGAUGCCAGGAACACCGAGGAGGCCACCUUCAAGCUAUAUGAGAAGAUCGAGCACCUCCAAGCCCAAAUCUAUGACCUGCAAAACCAAAACUGUGAGUAUGAAUUUAGAUUCAAAGGAAUGAGUUUGGCUGCAGAUUCGAGGAUUUCGGAGACUGAUCAUCCUUCUAUGAUGGUGAACCUAUGCCUUGGAAGAUGGAUGACAAGCCUGCAUCAUCAACAACACCUCCACCUUCUUCACCAACCAAGGAGAUAUAAUAACAUGGGUAUGGGCACUCCCCUUGGCAAUCGCCAAGCUUGGGGGAGGUGCCCCGGUAUCGUAUCACAAUCACAACUCCUAUCUUUACCGUUUUCCUUAGUUUGAUCUUAUUAGUAGUAUUUUGAUCUAGUAGAAUAAAGUUUAUGGCAUGAUCUAGUUUUAAGUUUGCUUUAUGAUCUCUCUAUAUAAUCGAGUCCGUGAGCUAUGUAAUAAAGAUUAGUGUUGAGUCAAGGGCUUGAUUUUCUUGCUAUGAUCUUGGGUGAAUAAAAGAAAAGAGAAAAAGAAAAAAAGAAAAAAAAAGUUCAUAUUGAUCUUAUUAAUAGUAAUGACUUCACAUAGAAAGAGUGUGAUUAUUAAAAGUUGUUGGGAGUUGGCAGACAUAGCUUUGGUCAUCAUUGCAAUUAAUAGGAAGUAAUAAGGAAAGAGAGGUUUCACAUAUAAAUAUACUAUUAUUGACAUCUUUUAUGAUUGGGAACACUCAUCAAAAUAUGACAUGCUAAAGAGUUGAUGUUGGACAAGGAAGACAACGUAAUGGGUUAUGUUUUCUUAUAUCUGAGAUAAAGUAUGUUGUCAUGGAUCAUCCAACAUGUUGAGAUUGCCUUUCCCCCUCAUGCUAGCCAAAUUCUCAGCACCAAGUAGAGAUACUACUUGUGCUUCCAAAUACCCUUAAACCAGUUUUGCCAUGAGAGUCCACCAUAUCUACCUAUGGAUUGAAUAAGACCCUUCAAGUAAGUUGUCAUUGGUGCAAAGCAAUAAAAAUUGCUCUCUAAAUAUGUAUGAUUGAUUGGUGUGGGAGAAAUAAGCUUUAUAAGAUCUUGUGAUGUGGAAGUAAUAAAAGCGACGGACUGCAUAAUAAAGGUUCAUAUCACAAGGGGCAAUAUAAAGUGACAUUCUUUCGCAUUAAGAUUUUGUACAUCCAACCAUAAAAGCGCAUGGCAACCUCUGCUUCCCUCUGCGAAGGGCCUAUCUUUUAUUAUUAUCUUCUACCUUAUGCAAGAGUCAUGGUGAUCUUCACCUUUCAUUUUUACAUUUUAUCCUUAGGCAAGCACAGUGUGUUGGAAAAGAUCCUGAUAGAUAUAUCUAAUUGGAUGUAGGGGGGCAUGAGUUAUUAUUGUUGACAUUACCCUCGAGGUAACAGGUUGUGGGGCGAAACUAUAAGCCCUUAUCUUUCUCUAUGUCCGAUUAAAACUCUGUAACCACAUGUAUUGCGCGAGUGUUAGCAAUUAUGAAGGACUAGAUGAUAGUUGAGUAUGUGGACUUGCUUUUUAGCUCUGACAUAGACUCUUUCUGAUGUUAUGAUAAAUGGCAAUUCCUUCAAUGACUGAGAUUAUAGUUUGUUGGUUCUCAAUAAGGUUUCUGAUUCAUACUUUUGCUUUGUGAAUAGAUCAUCACUUGAACAUAAGUAACCAUAUGACAAUAUCUAUGUAUGUUGCUGUUAUGAGAAUAAUCAUGAUGCCCUCAUGUCCAUAUUUUAUUUUUAUCGACGCCUCUACCUCUAAACAUGGGAACAUAUUUAUUGUUAUCGGCUUUCGCUUGAGGACAAGCAAGGUCUAAGCUUGGGGGAGUUGAUACGUCCAUUUUGCAUCAUGCUUUUAUAUUAAUAUUUAUUGCAUUAUGGGCUGUUAUUUCACAUUAUGUCACAAUACUUAUGGCUAUUCUCUCUUAUUUUACAAGGUUUACAUAAGGAGGGAGAAUGCCGGCAGCUGGAAUUCUGGGCUGGAAAAGGAGCAAAUAUUAGAGUCCUAUUCUGCACAACUCUAAGAGUCCUGAAACUCCACGAGAUACCUUAUAAUAAAUAAUGAAAAAUCCUCGCCAAAGAUGAAGACCAGGGGGCCCACACCCUGCUCACGAGGGUGGGGGGUGCCCCCCCCCCCUUGGGGCGUGCACCCCUGCCUCGUGGGCCCCCUGGUGGCUCUCCGAUGACCAUCUUCUCCUAUAUGAAGUCUUUCGUCGAGAAAAAAAUAGGAAGCAACCUUUCGGGAGAAAACUCCGCCGCCACGUGGCGGAACCUUGGCGGAUCCAAUCUAGAGCUCCGGCAGAGCUGUUAUGCCGGGGAAAUUUCCCUCCCGGAGGGGGAAAUCAUCGCCACCGUCAUCACCAACGCUCCUCUCAUCGGGAGAGGGCAAUCUCCAUCAACAUCUUCAUCAGCACCAUCUCAUCUCAAAACCAUAGUUCAUCUCUUGUAUCCAAUUCUUGUCUCCAAGUCCGGGAUUGGUGCUAGUAGGUUGCUAGUAGUGUUAAUUACUCCUUGUAGUUGAUGCUAGUUGGUUUAAUUGGUGGAAGAUCAUAUGUUCAGAUCCUAUAUGCAUAUUAAUACCCCUCUGAUUAUGAACAUGUUUAUCCUUUGUGAGUAGUUACGUUUGUUCCUGAGGACAAGGGAGAUGUCUUGCUAUUAGUAGUCAUGUGAAUUUGGUAUCCGUUCGAUAUUUUGAUAAGAUGUAUGUUGUCUAGCCUCUAGUGGUGUUAUGUGAACGUCGACUACAUAACACUUCACCAUUAUUUGGGCCUAUAGGAAGGCAUUGGGAAGUAAUAAGUAGAUGAUGGGUUGCUAGAGUGACAGAAGCUUAAACCCUAGUUUAUGCGUUGCUUCGUAAGGGGCUGAUUUGGAUCCAUAUGUUUCAUGGUAUGGUUAGGUUUACCUAAAUACUUUUGCUGUAGUUGCGGAUGCUUGCAAUAGAGGUUAAUCAUAAGUGGGAUGCUUGUUCAAGUAAGAACAGCACCCAAGCACCGGUCCCCCCACAUGUCAAAUUAUCAAAGUAUCGAACGCGAAUCAUAUGAACGUGAUGAAAACCUGCUUGACGAUAUUCCCAUGUGUCCUCGGGAGCGCUUUUCCUUAUAUAAGAGUUUGUCUAGGCUUGUACUUUUCUACAAAAAGGAUUGGGCCACCUUGCUGCACUUUAUUUACUUUUGUUACUUGUUGCUCGUUCCAAAUUAUCUUAUCGCAAAACUAUCUGUUACCAAUUAUUUCAGUACUUGCAGAGAAUACCUUGCUGAAAACCGUUUAUCAUUUCCUUCUGCUCCUCGUUGGGUUCGACACUCUUACUUAUCGAAAGGACUACGAUAGAUCCCCUAUACUUGUGGGUCAUCAUUUAGCUCCAAAAAAUAGCAAAUUAAGUCCUACAUAAUGCAUGAAAUAUAUUUUUGGACAUAAUAUUUAUUCGGGUUUCAAAUGUCAAAACACAUAAGUACCCUAACUAUUAGAAAGAUUCCCUCCGGUUUGUCCGAAGUGGGACUUUCCAGUUAUAUCUCGUGAGUGGUGACGGUGAUGAAGUUGAAGCCGGUCACAUCCCAGAGUGAGAUCUUGGGGUAUAAAACUUUUUCUUCGCAUGUGUCCCUUUGCUCCGUAACCAUGGACAAUCUUCAUCAUUUAAUAGGAUGCCGGGGUCAAUGUUGACUGUGAAGGGAACAAUUUCAUGAAACUUUUCAUAAUCUUCUGACUUGUCUGUCUUGUCCAUUCCCACGAUGUUCCAUUUCCCUGAAAGAACUAUGUGGCGCUUUGGCUCAUCGUAUGAUGUAUUCGCGUCCUUAUCUUUUCUUUUUCUCGGCUUGGUAGACAUGUCAUUCGCAUAGAAAACCCACGCCACAUCAUUGGCUAGGACGAAUGGUUCAUCUGCGUACCAAAGAUUGUUGAGAUCCACUGUUGUCAUUCUGUACCGCGGGUCUUCCUUUACCCCGCCUCCUGUCAGAUUGGCCCAUUUGUACCUAAACAAAGGGACCUUCAAACCAAGUCCAUAGUCAAGUUCCCAUAUCUCCUCUAUGUAACCAUAAUAUGUGUCCUUUGGCCUAUUGGUGUUUGCUGCAUCAAGUCGGACACCACUGUUUUGGUUGGUGCUCUCUUUAUCUUGGGCGAUUGUGUAAAAUGUAUUCCCAUUUAUCUCGUACCCUUUGAAAGUCAAUAUAGUCGAAGAUGGUAACUUGGCCAGCAAGUACAACUCAUCUGCAACACUCUCAUCAUGCCGUUUGUUCACGUGUACUCCAGUUGUUAGACUACUCCAGGUGUUUGGAGCAUAGAAUAUUCUUGUGUUCCUCGAUAUACGGAGCCACCAAUGCGGAAUUUUGUAGAACUAUGUAGUGUGCUUGCGCCCAAGAAUGCCCGUCCAUACAUAUUACUUGGUCCUUUCCUAGCAUGCCUUUUCCACCAUGUCUGCCCUCAUGCCGCGAUUCGGGAACACCAAUUGGCUUAAGGUCAGGAAUAAAGUCGACACAAAACUCAAUGACCUCCUCUAUUUCAUGGCCCUUGGAGAUGCUUCCUUCCGGCCUAGCAUGUUUAUGAACAUAUUUCUUUAAGACUCGCAUGAACCUCUCAAAGGGGAACAUAUUGUGUAGAAAUACAGGACCCAAAAUGGCAAUAUCUACGACUAGGUGAACUAGGACAUGCGUCAUGAUAUUGAAGAAGGAUGGUGGGAACCCCAACUCGAAACUAAUAAGACAUUGCAACAAAUCAUUCUAUAACCUUGGUAAGAUUUCUGGAUCGAUUACCUUCUGAGAGAUUGCAUUUAGGAAUGCACAUAGCUUCACGAUGGCUAAUCAAACGUUGUCCGGUAGAAGCCCCCUCAAUGCAACUGGAAGCAGUUGUGUCAUAGUCACGUGGCAGUCAUGGGACUUUAGGUUCUGGAACUUUUUCUCUAGCAUAUUUAUUAUUCCCUUUAUAUUCGAUGAGAAGACAGACGAGACCUUCAUACUGAGUAGGCAUUCAAAGAAGAUUUCCUUUUGUUCUUUGGUAACAGCGUAGCUGGCAGGACCCUAACACUACUUUGGAUGCAUGCCGUCUUUUUCGUGCAUAUUUUGCUGGUCCUCCCAUGCCUCCGGUGUAUCUUUUGUCUUCCCAUACACGCCCAAGAAUCCUAGCAGGUUCACACAAAGAUUCUUCGUCACGUGCAUCACGUCGAUUGCAGGGCAGACCUCUAGUUCUUUCCAAUUGAGUAGGUCCCAAAAUAUAGAUUUAUUCUUCCACAUGGGUGCGAGUCCGUCAGCGUCAUUCAGAACAUAUUGUCCGCCAAGACCCUUUCCAAAGAUUAUUUUUAAAUCCUUGACCAUAUCAAGUAUAUCAUCACUAGUACGGUGGCGAGGCUUCGUCCGGUGAUCUUCCUCACCUUUGAAAUGCUUGCCUUUCUUUUUUAAGAGAUGAUUGAUCAUAAGAAAUCGACGAUGUCCCAGGUACACAUUCUUUUUACAUUUAUCCAAAUAUGUAUUUUGGGUGUCAUCUAAACAAUGCGUGCAUGCGUGGUAUCCCUUGUUUGUCUGUCCUGAGAGGUUACUAAGAGCAGGCCAAUCAUUGAUGGUUACAAACAAUAACGCUCGCAGGUCAAAUUCCUGUUGUUUCUGCUCAUCCCACAAACGUAGACCUUUUUUGUCCCACAACUGUAAAAGUUCUUCAACUAAUGGCUUUAGGUACACAUCAAUGUCGUUGCCGGGUUGCUUGGGGCCUUGGAUGAGCACUUCUAUCAUAAUGAACUUCCGCUGCAUGCACGACCAAGGAGGAAGGUUAUAAAUACAUAGAGUCAAUAGGCCAGGUGCUAUGAUUGCUGCUCUACUCCCCAAAAUGAUUAAUGCCAUCUGCACUUAAACCAAAUCAUACGUUCCUUGCGCCAUCUGCAUAGUCCCCCACACUUUCUCAUGAUUUUUCUCCACUGCGAACCAUUAGUGGGUACUCUCAACUUCCCGUCUUUCUUACGGUCUUCUUUGUGCCAUCGCAUGAACUUAGCAUGCUCUUUCUUUUGGAACAAAUGUUUCAACUGUGGUAUUAUAGGAGCAUACCACAUCACCUUCUUCCUGGGUUGCUCGCCCUCAACAUCACCAGGGUCACUUCCACUGAUCUUAUAGUGCAAUGCACCGCAUACCGGGCAUGCGUUCAAAUCCUCAUACUCAUCGCGGUAGAUAAUGCAGUCAUUAGGGCAUGCAUGUAUCUUCUGCACCUCUAAUCCUAGAGGGCAGACAUCCUUCUUUUCUUCAUACGUACUGUAGGGCAAUUCGUUGUCCUUUGGAAGCAUCUUGUUCAACAUUACCAACAACUUUUCAAAUCCCUUGUUAGACACACCAUUCUGCCUUCCAUUGCAACAAUUCCAGUGUGGUACCCAGCUUUUUCUUGUCAUCUUCGCAAUUUGGGUACAACAAUUUCUUGUGAUCCUCUAACAUGCGUUACAACUUUAGCUUCUCCUUUUCACUUGUGCAGUUUCUCUUUGCAUCAGCAAUGGCCCGACCAAGAUCAUCAGCGAGCUCAUAUGUUGCCUCUUCUUCAGCUUUUCCCCCAUUGUUGUACCAUCGUAUUCAGGGAACCUAUGGCCAGGAUAGCUGUCAUCGUCCUCUUCUUCUUCAUUCUCUUCCAUUAGGACCCCUCUUUCUCCGUGCUUGCUCCAAUAGUUAUAGCCGAACAUGAAACCAGAUGUAAACAGGUGGACGUGAAUGGUUCUUGAGUUAGACGAAUUGUGAUCAUUCUUACAGACAACAAAUGGACAACACAUAAAACCAUCCGCCCGCUUGUUUGCCUCAACCGCAACCAGAAAAGUACACACGCCAUUAAUGGACUAGGGAGAGCAUCGGUCAUUGUACAUCCAUCGGUUAUCAUCGGUCAUCGUACACAACACCGAAAAGAGCAAAUUAAUACAAGUUCAUACACACUUAUUCUCAUAAAACAACACGGAAACUUUCUAGCUAAAGCAUUUAAAUACGACAACAAAUGUGAUCAAGAUCGCAACUAAGGUAACAAUUGUUGCAACAACAUAGUGAUACCAAGCCUCUUUAUUAAUGACAUAUUUUCUAAUCUUUCUAAUCCUCAAGCGCAUUGCAUCCAUCUUGAUCUUGUGAUCAUCGACGACAUCGACAACAAACAACUCUAGUAUCAUCUUCUCUUCUCCAAUUCUUUUCAAUAUUCUUUCAAAUACUCUUUUCUUUUUCAACUAAAUUUAACUUCUCGGCAAGAGGGUCGGUUUCCGGUUCACAUACACUAGUAGAAAAAGGGUCAAUCGUGAAGCACAUUAGUGCCGGUUUGUAUUUGAGCCGGCACUAAUGUAUACAUUAGUGCCGGUUCCAACGGCUAGCCGGGCCGCUUUCAUUAGUACCGGUUCAUGGCGAACCUUUAGCACCGGUUCGUGCCACGAACCGGUACUAAUGAAAGUGGUGGCAGGAUGUUGUCAGACAGGCGCCCCUCCAGCCCCUUUAGUACCGGUUCUUGGCACGAACCGGUACUAAAGGUCGUACUAUAUAAACCCAUCGUCCACCAGCACUCUGUUCUUCCCCCUUUCCCCUCUCGCUCUCCUCUGUUCUUCCCUUCUUCCUCUCGAGUUCAUCACAAAAUUUGCCCAAAAUUUGUCAAGAUUUGAAGGCCCUCAUCCAUUCAAAUGAUCACAAAGGUUAGCAACUUUGUCCUUUCAUAUCUCAUUGCUAGAUUAGCUCUUGCAUUGGUUUAUAUAGUGAGUAAUUAGUGAGUUUAGUAAUUUGGGAGGAUAUAUAUAUAUAUGUGCUAGUAUUUGAUUUAUAUGCAAUUUGAGGUCAAAAAUAACACUUAAUUUGCAUAUGUAGGUGUGGUUUACUUAGUGCCUUCUAAAUCUCCAUCGUAGCCACCGUCGAUCGCCCGCACCGUCCCGUCGCCGGCACCACCUUGUGGUGAGCCUCUUGUUCAUGAAAUUUUACAUAAAAAUUGAUGUUUGUGUGAUUUGGAUAUAUAGUUACUCGUAUAAUUAUCUUACCUGUACGUUGUUUGUUAUACAUAUAGUGCCAUGGUUUUGAUAUCCGUCCCCGUCGGCCCUAGUCCUUGUUAUGAUUCGGAUGUGGUAUGUAUAUUCUCUUUUAAAACUAGUUGCAUUUCGUGUUUAUGACAAAUUAUGCCCAUCAAGUUGACAUAGAAAUUUUUUCUAGGAGGUAUCUGAACCUGAAAUUCCAACCGACCCUAUUGCCAAGAGGUUAAAUUUAGUUGAAAGAGAAAACGAGUACUUGAAAGAAAAAUUGAAAAGAAUUGAGGGGGAGAAGAUGGAAUUGGAGUUGCAUGUUGCCGAUGUCGUCGAUGAUCACAAGAUCAAGAUGGAGAAAAUGCGCUUGAAGAUUAGAAAGAUUAGAAAAUAUGCCAUCGAUAGUGAGGCUUGGUAUCAUUAUGCUGUUGGAUCCAUUGUUACCUUAGUUGCGAUCUUGAUCGUAUUUGUUGUUGCAUUUAAAUGCUUUAGCUAGAGAGUUAUUUGUUUGUUGCAUUUAAGUGUUGUAUGAACUUUAUGUAUGAACUUGUAUUAAUUUGGUCUAUUUGGUGUUGUGUAAUGAAGAUGAGCCGGCAAUGGAUGUACGAUGACCGAUGCUCUCCCCAGUUCGUUGAGGGCGUGCGUACUUUUCUGCUUGCGGCUGAGGCAAACAAGCGGGCGGAUGGUUUUAUGCCUUGUCCAUGUGCUCGCUAUAAGAACGGUCACAAUUACUCUACGUCAAGAACCAUUCACGUCCACCUGUUUAAGACCGGUUUCAUGCCCCAUUAUAAUGUUUGGACCAAGCACGGAGAAAGAGGGGUUAUGAUGGAAGACAAUGAAGAAGAAGAGGACGACGACAGCUAUCCUGGCCAUGGGUUCCCUGAAUACGAUGAUACAACAAUGGGGGAAGAAGCUGAGCCGGUAAUGCGGGAAGAAGCUGAGCCGGCAAUGCGGGAAGAAGCUGAAGAAGAGGCAUCAGAUGAGCCCGUUGAUGAUCUAGGUCGGGCCAUUGCCGAUGCAAAGAGAAACUGCGCAAGUGAUUUGGAGAAGAAGAAGUUGCAGCGCAUGUUAGAGGAUCACAAAAAAUUGUUGUACCCGAAUUGCGUAGGUGACAAGAAAAAGCUGGGCACCACACUGGAAUUGCUGCAAUGGAAGGUAGAGACUGGUGUAUCUGACAAGGGAUUUGGAAAGUUGCUGGUAAUGAUAAAGGAUAUGCUUCCAAAGGACAACGAAUUGCCCGAGAGUAUGUACGAAGCAAAGAAGGUUGUCUGCCCUCUAGGGUUAGAGGUGCAGAAGAUACAUGCAUGCCCUAAUGAUUGCAUCCUCUACCGCGGUGAGUACGAGGAUUUGAACGCUUGCCCGGUAUGUGGUGCAUUGCGCUAUAAGAUCUGCCGCGAUGACCCUGGUGAUGUCGAGAGCCGGCGCCCCAGGAAGAAGAUUCCUGCCAAGGUGAUGUGGUAUGCUCCUAUAAUACCACGGUUGAAACGUUUGUUCCAAAUCAAAGAGCAUGCCAAGGCGAUGCGAUGGCACAGAGAAGACCGUAAGAAAGACGGAAAGUUGAGAGUACCCGCUGACGGGUCGCAGUGGAGAAAAAUCGAAAGAAAGUACGGGAAGGAGUUUGCAGAUGACGCAAGGAGCGUAUGGUUUGGUCUAAGAGCAGAUGGCAUUAAUCCUUUUGGGGAGCAGAGCAGCAACCAUAGCACCUGGCCUGUGACUCUAUGUUUGUAUAACCUUCCUCCUUGGUUGUGCAUGAAGCGGAAGUUCAUUAUGAUGCCAGUGCUCAUCCAAGGCCCUAAGCAACCUGGCAACGACAUUGAUGUGUACCUAAGGCGAUUAGUUGAAGAACUCUUACAACUGUGGAAUGGAACAGGUGUACGUGCGUGGGAUGAGCACAUGGGGGAAGAAUUUGACCUGAAGGCGUUGUUGUUCGUGACCAUCAAUGAUUGGCCUGCCCUCAGUAACCUUUCAGGACAGACAAACAAGGGAUACCGCGCAUGCACGCACUGUUUGGACGAUACCGACAGUAUAUAUUUGGCUAAUUGUAAGAAGAAUGUGUACCUGGGACAUCGUCGAUUUCUUCCGAGCAGGCAUCCCGUAAGAAAGAAAGGCAAGCAUUUCAAAGGUGAGGCAGAUCACCGGACGAAGCCUGGCCACCGUACUGGUGCUGAUGUAGAUGAUAUGGUCAAGGAUUUGAAGGUGGUCUUUGAAAAGGGUCCUGGUGGACAACCUGUUCCGAAUGACGCUGACGGACGCGCACCCAUGUGGAAGAAGAAAUCUAUAUUUUGGGACCUGCCCUAUUGGAAAUACCUCGAGGUCCGCUCCGCAAUCGACGUGAUGCACGUGACGAAGAAUCUUUGUGUGACCCUGCUUGGCUUCUUGGGCGUGUAUGGGAAGACAAAAGAUACACCUGAGGCACGGGAGGACCAGCAACGUAUGCACGGAAAAGACGGCAUACAUCAGGGUCAUGCAAGCUACGCUCUUACCAAAGAAGAGAAGGAAAUCUUCUUUGAAUGCCUGCUCAGUAUUAAAGUACCGUCUGGCUUCUCGUCGAAUAUAAAGGGAAUAAUAAACAUGGCAGAGAAAAAGUUCCAGAACCUAAAGUCUCAUGACUGCCACGUGAUUAUGACGCAACUGCUUCCGGUUGCAUUGAGGGGGCUUCUACCGAAAAAUGUUCGAUUAGCCAUUGUGAAGCUAUGUGCAUUUCUCAACGCAAUCUCUCAGAAGGUAAUCAAUCCAGAAAUCAUACCAAGGUUACAGAAUGAUUUGGUGCAAUGUCUUGUCAGUUUCGAGUUGGUGUUCCCACCAUCCUUCUUCAACAUCAUGACACACGUCCUAGUUCACCUAUGCGAAGAGAUUAACGUUUUGGGUCCUGUAUUUCUACACAAUAUGUUCCCCUUUGAGAGGUUCAUGGGAGUCUUAAAGAAAUAUGUUCAUAACCGUGCUAGGCCAGAAGGAAGCAUCUCCAAGGGCCGUCAAAAUGAGGAGGUCAUUGAGUUUUGUAUUGACUUUAUUCCUGACCUUAAGCCGAUUGGUGUUCCUGAAUCGCGGCAUAAGGGCAGACUGGAUGGAAAAGGCACGCUAGGAGGGGAACAAAUAAUAUAUAUGGACGGACAUUCUCUCACUGAAGCACACUACACAGUUAUACAGAAUUCCGCCUUGGUGGCUCCGUAUAUGGAUGAACACAAGAAUUUGCUACGCUCCAAACACCCGGAGCGGUCUGAUGACUGGAUUACACGUGAACAAACCAGGAGUUUCGCGAGCUGGUUGCAAGCACGUACCAUGCAUGACACCUCUAUUGAAGAUGACAUGUACUUGCUGUCCCAGUUACCAUCUUCGAAUAUAAUGACUUUCAAAGGGUACGAGAUAAAUGGUAAUACAUUUUACACGAUCGCCCAAGAUAAGAAGAGCACCAACCAAAACAGCGGUGUCCGCUUUGAUGCAGAAACCAAGACGGGAAAGGAAACAUAUUAUGGUUAUAUACAGGAUAUAUGGGAACUUGACUAUCGACGUGGUUUGAAGGUCCCUUUGUUUCGGUGCAAAUGGGUCAAUAUGACACGAGGGGGGUAAUGGAGGACCCGCAGUACGGAAUGACAACAGUGGAUCUCAACAAUCUUGCAUAUGCAGACGAACCAUUCGUCCUAGCCAAUGAUGUGGCACAGGUUUUCUAUGUGAAGGACAUGUCUACCAAGCCAAGAAAAAGAAAAGAUAAGGAAGCGAAUGCAUCAUACGAUGAGUCAAAGCGGCACAUAGUUCUUUCUGGGAAGAGAAACAUCGUGGGAGUGGAUGACAAGACAGACAAGUCAGAAGAUUAUGAAAAGUUUGAUGAAAUUGCUCCAUUCACAGUGAAUAUUGACCCGAGCAUCCCGUUAAAUGAUGAAGAUUUUCCAUGGCUACGACGCAAAGGGACACACGCGAAGAAAAAGUUUCACACCCAAAGAUCUGGGAUGUGAUCGGCUUAGCUAUCAUCACUUUCUUCUGUGUUUCACACCCAGGAGGGAAUCUCUGUAAUAGUUAGGGUAGCUAGUUAUGUGUUUUGGCAUUUGAAACGCGAAGAAAUUUUAUGUGCAAGCAAAUUCUUUCAUGCAUUUAUUGAUUUUUUCAGCUAAAUGACCCUGAAAUUGAAAAGCAUUUCAAAUGAACUUAGAAAAGGAUGAAAGUUGGCAUGGUAUCAUAAUUUCACCCACAUAGCAUGUGCAAAAAAGUAGAGAGGGUUACCGCAAAAACUGGAUGCACUUCGUGUACAAAAUGGACAAUCUGUUUCGAAGUAUCAGGGUUUCGGACGAAAACUCAUCCGUUACAAAGGCAUUUCAUUUUUAAAUAACUUAAGCAUUACCAAAUUGAAUAUAAUGAUAAAACACACUAAUAUUAAACAUAAGAAAAAAGAAUCAAUGGAAAAUGUAUUUUUAAAGUUAAGUUAUUCACAAACUAGUGAUUCACACAAAUUUCAAAUAAUUCAAAAUUUAAACUAUUCAAAUUUAAAAACUACCGGCACUAACUGAAAGUUUCUAAAAACUAUCAAAAAUAUUCACGAAGAAACUCUAAAUACAGCAAAAAACAACUAAAAAUAAAUAAAACAAAAUAAAUAAAGCAGAAAAGAAAAAACUAAAUGAAAAAAGCCCCCCUACCGGGCCACAGUGGCCUGCAUACGACUAGAAACCCAACCUGUUGUUGGGCCAGGAUGCAGGCCCGCAAGCCCAAUAGGCCCCACAGGGCAGAGUAGCAGAGGUAGGCCCAGAAGGCCUGCUUUAGAGAGGAGCUCGAGACAACAACGGUGGCGGGGCUUAUAAGCAGGUGUGAGCGCCCUUCGGCUAGCGAGGUGGGACUAAACUUCUGCGCCCCUCGCCUGGCAGCGCACCCCCUUUAGUACCGGGUCGUGGCACCAACCGGUACUAAAGGGGGGGCCUUUAGUAACGGUUGGAGCAAGGAACCGGUACUAAAGGGGGGUGCUCCCCCCGCUUGGCCUGGCCAAAAUAGGCCUUUAGUACCGGUUGGUGGCUCCAACCGGUACUAAAGGUGUCCCCUAUAUAAGAAGCACUUCGAAAAUUUUCAGUUUCUCAUCUCCCACUUCUCUCUGCCGCCGCCCCCGUCGCGCUGUCGCCGCCCCCGUCGCCAUCCCCGUCGACUUCGCGACGCCCCCGUCCUCGUCGCAUCGUCCCCGUCGACUCCGCGGCACCCCCGUCGCCGUCCCGGUCGCCGAUCCCCUCGCUUCGCCGUCGCCGUCGCCUUUGGAUCGACCUCGCCCUCGCCCUCGCCGUCGCCUCGACCUUGCCCGCGCGCGCUGUGAGCCCCUCCCCCGGCCCCUCUCCUCCCUCCAAUCCAUCGUAGCGCACACCGGCGCCGGCGCCGGCGCCGACCAUAGCGCACACACACGCGCGCGCGCACACACACACUACAUGCACACACACACACACACACACAAACACACUACACACACGCUAGACGCGCACACACACACAAUUUUUCUGUUUUUAGCUUUUAGUUUUUUCUGUUUUUCUGUUUUUCAUACAAAGUUUUAGAUGAAUUAAUUAAUUAGAUUAGAUUAAUGUCAAAUAGUAUGUAGAAAUGUUAGUUAUAAUAUAUAUAAUGUAAAAUGUUAUAGAAAUGUUAGUUAUAUAGAAAUGUUAGAAAUUUUGGAAAUGUUAGUUUUAGCUAGCUAGAUGAAUUAGAUUAAUUUCAAAUUGUUAGAUGAUGAUCGAUGUUUUUUUUAGUUUCUUAUAUUUUUAGUUAUAAAAUUUAGAAUUUGCAUAUAUGAAAUCAUCACAAUCCAUCAUUUAAAAAAUGUUACUUUACUUUUGCGGCAUAUAGUAUUUUGUUGUCGACGAUGCCUGGCCCGCAUCCUCGUCGUCGACACAUCCGUGACGACGUCCUGCUUCUGAGGACCCAUGUCCGGGACUGGGCUCUGCCGGGCUGGCACUGGGAGGUGCUACCUUCAGGGGCGCGACGCUUGGUGAGGAACCCGACCCCGGGUCCCGUCGUCGACCCUCAUCUCCUUUGGUGGCAUUCACGUGGGCCACUUUCGGUGCGGAGGGAGCCGGUCCCGCCGGAGGUGGUACGUCGCCGUGUCAGGGAGGAGGACGAGCACGUCCAUCGCUACAUGGCUGCUAGGACGUCAGGUUCUCCAAUACCUGGCAGGUUCUUUGGGGAGAUCACCCGAGCUAUGAUCCAGUGAUGGUUCCUUCUCUUUGGGUGUCCACCGCCCGCACGUCAGGAACCGCGAGUGGCCUAGAUUACUCUGUACUAUUCGAUCUUCAUUAGCUUGCUAGCUAGCUAGCUAGUGAUGUAUUCAAUAUUAUAUCUAUUAUUCGAGAUGAUGUAUUCGAGAUUAUAUCUAUUAUUCGAGACGAUGUAUUCGAGAUUAUAUCUAUUAUUCGAGAUUAUACUAAAUUGUUUUAUAUUUAUUUUGGCAUAGUUAAAUAAAAGCUAUGGCGGACAAUACCGACAGAGACAGAGAACAGACCAUGCUCGAUAUCAUACGCGGUCCAGAUGAUGAUCAGAAUGAAGAAGAUUUUGACGGCUCCGAAUUUCUAAACAACACCGGAGAGGGUGAUAUGAUAUUCGAUUGCGACGACCGAGAAGAUGAAGUCAUGAACUACGACGAACAACAUGUUGAUCCUGAAACAACAAACACCGACGAGGUAUAUAUAUUUAUAUAAGCAGGAAUCUGGUGACCAUCGCAUGUUUUAAAUGAGUUGAAGAUAUAUUAACGAAUCGAUCUUUCUUCUUUCAGCCAUCCGGAUCGAGCAAAUCUUCAGGCAAAAGGACGAAACAAGGCCCGAACAAAAAGUUGAAGGAGGGCGUAAAGUAAAAUAUCGAGGCAAUCAGACCUAAUGGCGAACCAUUAGCGCCUAAGAAGAUUGCGGACAAGUUCGUUCGUCAGUGCGGAGUUCUUGUGAAGGACCAACUCCCGAUCUCCCUUCAAGAAUGGAGAAAGCCAGUAAAUCCACGUCUAAAUGUUACUUUUGUCGACGAGAAUCAAAAAAAUCUGCUUUGGGAUACUCUCAUGGAACAUUUCACCCUACCAGAUAAUUUCACAGAAGCAGACGUGCGGAAAGUCAAGGACGCUGCUUUUAGGAAGAUGGCGGUUGCAUUCAAGAAUCACAAGAGAAUGACAUGGUAGAAGUACGUCAAGGGAGGAAGGAAGACUCCAGUAUUCGAGGGGAUACUAGAGAAUCAAAAUGCUCAUUGGGACGAUUUCGUGAAAUUCAAGGAUUCAGAAAUAGCUAAGGAACGGUCGAGAAUAAACAAGAAGAAUGCCGAAAAAAGGAUAAGUUCCAUAAGCUGGGGCCAGGUGGCUACGCGGUGGCAAUGCGUAAGUGGGAUAAGUCUGAGAAAGAGAUGGAGGAUGCAGGUGUCACUCCGGUUAGUAAGAGCUGGCCCCCCAGGUGCAGGACUUGGUUCUAUGCGCAUGGGGGGGAGUUGGACCCGAAGACAGGCAAUGUUUCGACGAAGGCAUGUCUGAACGGAGCCGACGAUGCGCUACUUGUUGCAAUAGAAGAGGCUCGAUCGGGGGUGUUCCAGCCCAACAAAGAGAACGACGAGCUUACGCGUGCCCUGGGAAAUCCUGAACACCCGGGAAGAACACGAGGCAAGGGCGCUAUUCCGUGGUAUGAGGGGUUUUCGUACUGGAACGCCGACUACAGAACCCGUGCGAGAAAGAAGAUUGCGGAGGAGAAGAAGAGGAAGAUGGAGGAGGAGCAAAGGAAGCUCGACUAUGAACGCCUUCAAGGCCUAGAAGCAAGUCAAGCGGAAUUGGCAGCUAAAUUCCAGCGGCAGCAGGAGCAGAUCGACUCACUUAGCCAGCAAAGGGGGUCUCAGCAGCUGCAGCAGCUAGCGGAUGAUCCAGCAUUGGAUACCACCGCCCCAUCCAUGCCGAGAAGCAGCGUGGGUUCCGCCCCGGGCGACGCAGUAGUGCUGGAUAGAUACCCCGUGGAUGACAUCACGGAGAACACUAACUGCGAGAUACACUUCAAAAUGAAGAACAUAUCCAUGAAGGUGGCGGACGCCGUUGCUUUUUCAAAUUCCCCCGAGGCAACCUUCCAUUGCAACCCGAUUCCAGCAGGCUAUGCUCGUGUCUUGGUUGAUGAGGUGGUGGACCAAUAUUCGGGGCUAGAGCUUGACAUUCCUGGAGGUGAUGAGGAGCACACACUCGGAGAUGCCAAACAUCGUAUCAUCUUAUGGAGAAAGGAUUGCAUCAUUUUUCGAAGGCCACCAACACUGCGUCACCCGACUCCUCGUCGAAGUCCGCCACCGAGUCAGCAGACUCCCGCUCCUCCAAGUCCACCAACGCGUGAGGCCACUCCUCCUCCUCCAAGUUCGGCAAAGUGUCAAGCCACUCCUCCUCCAAGUCCGACACAGCGUCAGACGUCCACUCCUCCUCCAAGUCCGGCACAACCUUAGGCCACUCCUCCUCCAAGUCCGGCACAGCUUCAGGCCACUCCUCGUCCAACUCAGCCCCGUCAGCCGUCUCCACCGCGUCAGCAAUCGCAGAAGAGACACCCCGCAGCUAUGGUGCGUAGCGGUACCAGUCGAGGUCAUAGUACAGGAAGUACAUGCGGAGGCAAGCGAUAUAAAUAUGGUCCAAACCUCACUACUCCUCUUCCUGUGAGGGCUUACGACAGGACCGAGGAGCAAACCAAUGCCAUAGUGCAGGCAGAAGUCGACGCCCAUUUUGGACCGAAACUGCCACCGCCGCCAAGGGAGAAAGUGCCUGUGGAAGUAGUUGACCACUUCAUUCGUAUGGCUCACCAACCAGCUCCUAAGCCUGUUGACACAGACUAUGAGCGCCACAUCAGGAAGUUACAUCGACAACGUCUACAGAAGGAGGCGAGCUCGAGCUCGAGCAAACAACAAGUAGCUGUCGAAAAAUGCGGGAAAACCAUUGCCCAGCUGGGAGAACAGGCGGCGCAAUNNNNNNNNNNNNNNNNNNNNNNNNNNNNNNNNNNNNNNNNNNNNNNNNNNNNNNNNNNNNNNNNNNNNNNNNNNNNNNNNNNNNNNNNNNNNNNNNNNNNNNNNNNNNNNNNNNNNNNNNNNNNNNNNNNNNNNNNNNNNNNNNNNNNNNNNNNNNNNNNNNNNNNNNNNNNNNNNNNNNNNNNNNNNNNNNNNNNNNNNNNNNNNNNUAUUGUGGCCAAACAGUUUACGUUCCCGAGGUGGGCGAUGUGGUAAUAACCCAGGAGCAUAUAAUGCAGGCUGAAGAACUCAAGAUCACUGUUGGACAACUCCUCGAGAUCGAGGACAUGCCUGUGAUUACACAGGAGGAUAUAAAACGGAAAUAUGUCCGGGGCCAACCUUUGGUCAAGCCAGAAGAUGUCAAGAAGCUCCCAACGAGAAUGUAUGAAUUGCAUCAAUGGUACAUGGACAUUACCAAGAGAUCCGAUCGAGAGUCCCUCAUGGUGUAUGUCAAGAAGGAUAAUUACUACCAUGAGAAAGCUGUGGCCGUUGAGUAUUCUGAACUGUUUCGGUUAUACAAUCAAGACGCACUUGACAAAUCUAUCGUCAGUUGCUAUUGUCUGUAAGUGAUUUCUUUCUGUAAUUUAAGUCUCAAGCUAGCUGUAGUGAUCCUUUUGAUCAAUCAUUACCUGUAAUUAUCCUCACUAUAUUCUUUUCUGUGGUAUUAUGCAGGAUGAAGAUGUAUGAAAUGAGAAAAGGUGGACGCUAUGGCAUUGGGUUCAUUGACCCAAACACCGUUAAUCAAUACACAUGGAAAAUGAGCAAGUAUUAUGAAAAGCAGGUAGAGGACAGCAUGCUAGAGUUCUUGAAGUGCCUCGAAUACAACGAAGAUAUACUACUUCCUUACAACUUCGAGUGAGUCACACUUUCUUGUACUACAAAUUCUCUAUUUUUGCCUACUAGCUAGCUACAUGUUUUUGCUUACAUAUGCCCGCUUAAUUAAGACAUGCAAACGUGUGUGCAUGCAGAUUUCACUGGAUCUUGUGUAUCAUUAAAGUUGACGCCGGAACAGUUGAAAUACUGGACUCGCUACUCAAAGAAAAUAGUGACUACAACAUCUUGUAUGGGAUAGUCAACAGGUAAUUUCAAUCAUUAUUAACUAUAUAUCUCGGCCUAUUUAGUUCGUCAUUUCAUGAUAUGAACUAUUUAAUAACCCCUUUAUUCAUUUUCUUUGUCGGCGGGCAGGGCUUGGGCAAGGUUCAUCAGCGUCACGGAAGGCGAAUGGAAACCACAGCUGAAAUGGUUUCGAUCCAAGGUAAGUAAUUAAGUAGUACUAGCUAGCUAGCUGCCAUCUCUUUAAUUAUCAUGCUUGAUUAAUUAUUAUCUGAUCAAAUUAAAUUCCAUUCUCGUAAUAAAGGCCCUGAAGCAGGCGCAGGGGACUAAUCUAUGUGCAUACUGCGUUUGCGAGAACAUUCGCAUGAUGGCGUCCGAAAGGAGCAGAUCUCAAAGACAGGAAUGGGUACGCUUGUCAGAACACUAUUCACAAUUUUUACACCAUUAUCGAUAUCUAGUCACACAACUAAUACACAUGCAUAUUGAUCUCCUUCUUAACAGUUCAAAGAGGUGCGGGACAAGCUCCUAGAAACGGAGCGCGUAGAAGCACUUCAAGAGGAAAUAGCGGGAUUUUUGCUCGACCAGGUCAUAAAUCCGAAGGGAGAAUACUAUUACCCGCUACCGCCCCCAUCGAACAUGUCAUGAACCACUUCCAAUUGUCAUCGUGCUCCGAAGGCACCAAUUAGGCUAAUGCCACUGGCUCCGAAGGCAACAUGCAUAUAUAGGAAAAAUUGUAUAUGGCUAUACAUGUGUGUAUGUGUAAAUUAAUAUGGUGGUUUGUGAGACAUUGAUGAUAUAUAUAUAUGAUUGGNNNNNNNNNNNNNNNNNNNNNNNNNNNNNNNNNNNNNNNNNNNNNNNNNNNNNNNNNNNNNNNNNNNNNNNNNNNNNNNNNNNNNNNNNNNNNNNNNNNNNNNNNNNNNNNNNNNNNNNNNNNNNNNNNNNNNNNNNNNNNNNNNNNNNNNNNNNNNNNNNNNNNNNNNNNNNNNNNNNNNNNNNNNNNNNNNNNNNNNNNNNNNNNNNNNNNNNNNNNNNNNNNNNNNNNNNNNNNNNNNNNNNNNNNNNNNNNNNNNNNNNNNNNNNNNNNNNNNNNNNNNNNNNNNNNNNNNNNNNNNNNNNNNNNNNNNNNNNNNNNNNNNNNNNNNNNNNNNNNNNNNNNNNNNNNNNNNNNNNNNNNNNNGCUGCCCAUUGAGCCGUAACUAGAUUAGGAAAAAAGUAACUGCAUGUGCACCCCUCCGCAGAUCCACCCCACCCCACGUGGUUCCACACUUUCUUUUGAUCGUAAGUGGCAAGCCACAUGUAGUAAUUUGCAUUUUAUGUGUUACUACAGCCUGAAACUUUUCAACUUUACAGUGAUCAGCCAUGUGAAAAAUCGCUCAAUUACUUUAGCAAAUACUCUCGCUUUACCAUUGGAGAACUCUUAUUACUACUAAUUCUCAAUACAUUUACUAGGACAAUUGUCCACACAGUAACGGUUAUGAUGGUUGAUUACUAUAUUCCAUAGUUUUUUACGAGCCAUGGAAAUGGAAGCGGACACUAAUAAAACAAGAUCGGGCAGCAGUAACAUAAUAAAUUCUUUUACUAUGUUUCCUAUUGUUCAUUACUAUGUCAUAUGUGCGCGGGAUCGUGAACGAGUGGGAGGCAAUAGUAAUGAAAUUAAUAUCGUUACUAGGUUUCCCAUUAAUAUAUAUGCAUAACGUGUACAAUGUGUAGUACCGUAAAAUACCAGCAAACAAAAAAGAAUUAAAAUGGAAAACACAAAAUUAAAUGAAAAAGAAAUCAUAAAACCAAAAAAACCCCAAACAUUUUAGUACCGGUUGGUGUUACCAACCAGUACUAAAGGGCUCCCGGCCCCCGGAGCUGGCUCGUGCCACGUGGUUGCCCUUUAGCACCGGUUCGUGUUGAACCGGUACUAAAGGGGGGGGCCUUUAGUGCCGAAAUGUUAGUGCCGGUUCCGAAAUCGGCACUAAAGGGCCUUACGAACCGGUGCUAAUGGCCCGUUUUCUACUAGUGAUACCUCCUAGAUAAAAAUAUCUAUGUCAACUUUAUGGGCAUAAUUGUUAUAAACACGAAAUGCAACAAAUAGUUACAAAAGAGAGUAUACACCACAUUCGAAUCAUAAACCAGACGAGGGCCGAUGGGGACGGAUAUCAAAAUCAUGCCACUAUGUGUAACAAACAACCAUACAGGUAAGAAAAUUAUACAAAUAACUAUCUAAAUCACACAAACAUGAACUUUUUUAUAAAAAUGAUAAGAAUAAGAGGCUCACCAAAGGUGGUGCCGGUGACGGGAUGGUGCGGGCAAUCGACGGUGGUUAGGACAGGGACAGCAAGGCACUAAGUAAACAACACCUACACAUGCAAACUAUGAAGUAAAUUUGAGCUCAAUUUGUAUAUAAAUCAAACAAACUCCCACAUAUAAUUACUCCCAAACUAAAACCCACAAAUCACUAUACUUAUAGAGCAUUUCAAGAGCUAAUCUACAAUGAGAGAUGAAAGGACAAAGUUUCUAACCUUUGUGAACACUUGGAUGGAUGGGGUGCUUUCAAAUCUUGACAAAUUCUGGCAAAAAUGAAGGAUGGGCUUGAGCAAGAGGGGAAGAAUAGAGAGGAGAGGAAAGGGGAAAAUGGGCUCGGGCUGGAUGAAGGGUUUAUAUAGGGAUGUCUUUUGUCCCAGUUGGUUAUACAAACCGGGACUAAAGAGGCCCAGCCUGACGCUAGCCUACCACCACCCCUUUAGUCCUGGUUUGUGACACAAACCGGGACUAGAGGUACACCACGAACCGGGACUAAUGAUGACCGCGCCGUAGACGUUGGAACAGGGACUAAUGGUCAUAUUAGUACCGGGCCGUAAACGAAUCGGGACUAAUGAGGUGAACGUAAGGUCGGUUUUCUACUAAUGCCCCGACUCUUCCCCAAGACCUCAAUCACCAGCACAACCCUAUUUGAAUUUUGAAAUAACAAAAGCAGGAUAUAUGUUGUUGUUAUAUAUUGAUGUAGUAUUGUCCAGCUCCCACCGUCCCAAAAUAAGUGACUCGACUUUGUAUUAAAGUUAGUGCAAAGUUGAGUCACUUAUUUUGAGACGGAGGAAGUAUUUAAAGUCUUAAAGCACACACCGUUGAUUGUUUCCAUUUUUACCUUAUUAGUGCUUGAAAAGGGUAGGACUUUGGAGAUAAAAUCGAUUAAUCAUCCGAUUUCCGAUUAAUGUCUAUAAUAUCCCAAACAUUGAUUACCACGGAUAUUUUUUCUUAUUAUAAACACAAGAAAUACAUUGCACUACGAGAAACAUGAAACAGAUACAUGAUACAAACGAAUAUCCCACAUUAGUGCUCAUAUAAAUCAAGCAUAAACAAAUAGGAUAUGUAACAAUUAGUGUGUGGAAAUAAAUGCUAGAUACGCGGAGCCUAUCCAAGACUUUUGUGUGUUAUUUAAUGUGAACAUUAAUUUAAAGAUACGCAUAAAUGCAACAAGGAAUCGAUAUCCACAACUUGGUGGUGGCCCUAUAUAAAUACCAGCAAUGGAGCUUGGCAGCGUGGAUCCCAUAUAGGGGAAGGAAGAAGCAGGGCAAGUAGAAGUACUCUCUCCUUGUAGUAUGGCAAUCCUCAAUAGCUAUACAAGGACGAUUGUCUACACCAUGGCGGUUGCUCUCUUGGUCGUCAUGAUGAUGUCCUCUUCGCUGCCAUCUUGUCAUGGAACUGAUGAAGGUAUGCAACAAUGUCCUUGUUUUACUCUACGAUUUCCAAACAUGGAAAAACAAAAAUCUAGCUAGCUAUACUCUUGUUUUAUCUUUGUAUACAAGCUAAACUGAAUUGCUGAUGCCGCAAUGUAAUUCAUUUGUAGAGGAGGGUUGGGAGUGCCGUCAAUUGCUGCACUGCACUGCUCAAGGGUGCCUCUCUUAUUGCAAAGUUUUAAAACAUGGUGGAGGUCACGCUUACAGUAUCAUGUCCAAAUGCCGUCACAACAGAACAGAGUGCUGCUGCCGAGACUACAAUCAGCCGCCGCCGCCAAGAGAUCUCGUGCUUGUGCAAAACAAUGCUGGUGCAUGAAAUCAUUGCAUCUUUUGAUGAACCUGCAGUCGGAGCAUUAAUUGAUCUAUCCGAUAAAAAUCAAAUGAACUUGUUUUAUCUUCAUACAUACUCCAAGCAAACAAACGUUGUACUUUGAACAACCAUGGUCUGUUCGACACCUGAUUAACAAUACUUUCGUAGAACUUCCUCGUAUGAAGUUAUUAGGCCUA
rnacentral:lncRNA from 1 species